AUGAUCUUGAAAACUAUAAUCGCUGAUGCCUUGAUUCAAUGUUAUCUAUUUCUAUAACCUCGUUAAUCAUGUGUUAAUAUCCAAAAAUAACUCGCAACUACUUUCAUUGAUCUAUGUUGCAUUACAAAAGAGACUUAGUGUAUCAUUUCAUUUUACUUAACAAAUUUCAUAACAGAUUUAGAUUUCAUACGUUCUGGACAUCCCAUGCUUAUAAAAAAUUUAGGAAAAUAAUCAUGAACAUCGUAGUUUGCUUUAGCCACAUUCAAUAAAUUAUCGUGGCCAUGGGUACAGUUCCCAUGGCAUGGGCAUGAUACGUAAAUCCCAUUCGGGUGUGCAUUUCAUAUAAUCCGAUCAUAACUUCAAACAAUAAUGAAAUACAUAUGUUGUAGAUCGUGGGUACAGUUUUCGUGACACGAUUUAUAACAUGUACAAAAACAAACAAGUGUACAACAAUCGUAACUUGUUCCAGAAAUAAUUUCAUAAAUAUUUAAAAGUGGUAUAAAAUUAAAAAUGCACAAUAGGUUCUAAACAUGUGAUAAAUUAGAUAAUUAGGCCAAUUAUUAAUAGUUGAGCGACCGUGCUAAAACCGCAAAACUCGGAAGCACCUAACACCUUUUCCCAGAUUAACAGAAUUCCUUACCCGGUCUUCUGUGUUCGCGGAACAAAAAUAGAGUCAAUUUUCUCGAUUUGGGAUUUAAAAUAAACCGGUGACUUGGUACAGCGAUAAUUAUUUCAAGUGGUGACUCUGAAAAAUAAAAUAAAUAAUCCGAUUUCGAAUAAUGUCACUUUAAUUAAAAAAACUCCCUACCUCCCUUGGGAAAAAGAGAGGUGUGACAACUCUGGCGAUUCUGCUGGGGAUUAGAACUCAGAGCUUCUGGUUCAGGAUUCAAGAAUUCGAGCUUAGAAUAAUUGUUAUACUUGGCUUUUAUUUAUUAUCUGAUUUUCAUUACAUGUUGAGCCUGAUGUGCUAAAUGCCCUUUUUUACCACUUUGAUAUUGUUUGAACUGUAUAUAAACUGUUGUAAAACCCUUCUUCUCGAUGAGUCUUCUAAAUCUUCUGGGAUGUGCACGCUGACAUGACUUCUUUUCUGUUAGAGUCAUACCAUAAUUUAGAACGAGGCAUAGAUCAGUUACAAAGUCGGAUAGCCUUUUGGUUACCAGUACGUUGCCCCCCCCCCAGAUCGAUUUGUCCACUCGAGUAAGCUAGGUCUAGAACAAUACACCCAGGUUUUAAACGUAAAAUAACAUAGCCUCAUAUCGGAUCCCUCGUAGGAACGUUUGUUUGCAUCACGUGCAUUUGUCUUUGGGGACUUAACAUAGGGGUUGGGUCCAUCUAGGACAGGUGUACCCAAAAAUCAAAAGACCAUCCUGAUGCAUUUUUACGUGCUACUCGUACAUUUAUUUGCUUCGGUUUGUAUGUUGACCGGUUUCAAGAAUAGGGAAGAAAAGUCUGGAAAAACCAAUUUGAGGUAAGAGAGAGAAAAUUACCCGUUUUUUGAAAAAAAACCUGGUGUUCAAAAUAUCCUGAAACUCUUCCAAAAUUUUGAAAAAAAAAAAGAAAAGGUCAUUUCAAACUAAGUCAUGUUUUCCUGUUACAACAAACUGACCGAACUAUGCGGGUUUGAUUCUCACCGGAUGUGAGAUACGUAGGCAACCCUCAUCAGUUCCAGCCCCGCUCCUUUUUGCAAAUGACCAAAAUAUGAAAUGUCAUUAUUUUUUCUCAUAAAUAAAGUUAGGUGAUGCCGUUUUUGUCUAAAUAGCCAGAAAUGUCCCGCUGGGACGCUGGAAGGCCCUUUUUGUAAGAAUAGCCACCAACAGUCCCUUUGUCAAUUUUUGGCCACCUAGCAAACACAACCCUAAAAGCUUCCCUUCUUAAGUGCUGAAGGGCCGUAUUUGCAAAAGUAGUCAUGAUUUGCUUUAAUUUGAAUUUUUGCAAAAAUAACAUUUUGAUCAGUUUUUAAACAAAAGCUCACAUAUUUUAACCCAGUCACCCUAAUCUAAAUGUGCAGCAUGAGCAUGGUUCAGAAUUUACCGAUGAAGGAUAUGACUCAGAUUCCAUUGGCACUUCACAUGUGGUGGGAGGAUUAGGGAAAACAGGGACGAGACAAGGUCAACCAAUACUUGAGGGCACUCACUGAAUUAUUGAAGAUUAAAUCUAGAAGUGAUGUAAUAGAUGCAUUAAUAACAUUCUGCGACCCUGCUCACAAUGUUCUGCAUUUCUCAGAUUUUAAGCUCACACCUACCUUGGAGAAAAUGGCAGGUUAUGCUGGGAGUACAGAGGGCUUAAGACACAAAUACUUGAUAGCUCCAAAGGUCGUUACUCCCCACAAGUUUCUAGACUUAAUAAAAAUAAGCAGGUAGAUCCAGAAUGAAGAUUUGGUAGGUGGAUUUUCCACUUUACACUUUCUAUACCAGCAGUAUGGGAAUUUCAGAGCAUUAGAGGACCUAGAAAGUGGACUCUGCAGUAACGGAAAUCGAUCAAAGUGGGAAAUACAUAGAUGCUUCGCCUUCAUGGUGGCAUUUUGAGGCCUCUUAGUGUUUCCAAGGAAGGACUGGAACAUUGAUUUGCGUGUAGCUAGUGUUGUCCAUAUUUUGACUACCAAUGCCAAGAGUACCCUCGCACCCAUGAUCGUAUCAGAUAUAUUCUGAGCUCUCACAGCCUGUAAGGCCGUAGUAGAGUUUUUUGAGGGGUGCAAUCUGUUAUUGCAAAUGUGGAUGAUCGAACAUCUUUCUCAUCGUCCUCGAUACAUGAACUACGGGUCUACAGAAAAAAGCUGGAUCGAGGAGUUUGGUACAUGAGUAACCGGAUUUGAAAUACCAGAAGGGGUCAAAUAUUGGAUAUCCCACCUUCGUUCUAUAACUGCGGAUCAGAUAGAGUGUACACUAGGUUGGCUUUCCGUUGAUGAGAUUGUAUACAUGCCCGCCACCGGUCCCUACUUCCUACUAAUGGGUCUCUGAAACAUCCAACUCUAUGCCCCAUACCGGAUUUUGAGACAACUUGGAAGAUUCCAGAUAGUUCCCAAAGACGAAGAUCUUAGUAUUCAUGUAGUUGAAAUCUGUUCUGAAGCUCAAUUUCUUAAAGAAGCGGUUCGAUGAAUUUGGAGCGAAUGCCAGUAUUUGGGGGCAAACACCCGAGUACGUGAUUUAUCCAGGGGCAAGAUUUCGCCUGGUUAUCUUGAUUGGUAUGGGAAGAGAGUCGCGGUAAAUGAUGAAUCUAAAAGGCCAACCAAAAGGCCCUACAUCCAAGAGUUUGUUGACACAUCGCAAGAAAAAUAGGCUUGGUUAACCAAAAAGAAUGACUAUAGGGCUGCCAUAAGCAAACUAGAAGGGCAAAUCAGAAACAUUAAGGUUGAUAGUGGUUUGCAGGCCGCUGUGGAUGAAGAAGAAUAAAAAAGGUUGGCGCAACAAAGUGAAGCCCUCCUAGCUCAGAUUUAGAGGAUGAAAAUAGCUGCUGAAAACCCGGGAAGAAGCAAAACAGAUGAAAAACUCAUAAACAAUCUUAGACGAAAAGUGUGUGAUUAUGGGGCUAACUUGGAAAAGGCCAAAGAUGAAUUGGCAAAAGCUCGAGCAAAGAAUGCAUAAGAACAGACGAGGUUUGCUCAGUAGCUAAGGGAAAGGUAUGACAGAUGAGUCACAGUUUUAAAGAGGAAGCUGACUACUCUCGAAAAUAAAAUGGCCCAGCAAACAAAGAAUUUCAAAGCGGAAAGAGAGCAUUGCUAUACGUUGAUGUCCCGACUGGAAGAAGAUAUGCAUCAACUGCAAGAGCAAAAGCAUAUGGCCACACAGGUUUUGGAGGCUCAGUCUCAGCAAAUUGGAUGCCUACUCCAUGAGAAGUGUGUCACUAGAGCAAAGAUUAAAAAAAUUGCUAAUUAUGUUGUAAUGAAGUGCCAUAAAUGCGAGGAUAUGACCAGGUCCAUGUUCUUCGCUAAUGUGAUGACUUUUGUCCGUCAAGUGAUGGACGACCUAGACCGUCUCCAAGAAUAUAUUGCACGCAGGCGCGUGUCGAGACCGACUGAUGUCCCGCGGGCCCCUGGAGUAGUAAUACAGGCUCUUAUGUAUUCCUGAUUUUCUUUAUGAGUUUGUAUUUCACUUCUUCGAGUCUGUUAGUCUUCUCCAAGUUUGUUUUUGUUUUUUAGUUCUUAAUUCUGUAUGUCCGAGUCUUUGUAAUAGAAAAAACCAAAAAGUUUUUAUUUAAUGAAAUAUUGAAAACCCAAAAAUUUUCUUUCUUUUAUUUCGCAUUUAGCCCCUGAACUACUAAUAAUCUGAUUCAUACGGUGUCUCGAUACGUAAACAAUCCCCAUCGGAUCCGAUCAUAGCAAUAGACAACCUGAGUAGUAAACCAAAAAAAAGAGAAAGAAAAAGAAAAUCGAAUAAAAAGAAAGAAAGAGUGAAGAAAACAAAAGAGCACAAAGAAAGAAAGGAUUCAGGAUUUGAAAGUUGAUAGCACAGCCGGGAUGAAACACACAGCCGUUGCGAGAAUAUCUAUCGAAUCCGCUAGUGUUGGUCCCACCCAAGCCUGAGAGACCUUUGUUCCUGUACCUUAAAGUCCUGGAAAAUUCUUUCAGCUAUGUCCUGGGGCAAUAUGAUGUGACCAGGAAGAGAGAGCAAGCCAUAUACUAUUUGAGCAAGAAGUUCACUAGUUAUGAAGCCAAGUACACUUUGUUGGAAAGAACUUGUUGUGCCCUAACUUGGGUCGCUCAGAAGCUUAUGCAUUACUUGUUGGCCUAUACCACAUAUCUCAUAACCAUAUUGGACCCCCUAAAGUACGUAUUCCAAAAACCGAUGCCCUCAGGAAGGCUAGCAAAAUGGCAAAUCAUGCUCACUGAGUUUGUCAUUGUCUAUGUCACCCGCACGACGAUGAAAACUCAAGCCUUGGCGGAUCACCUAGCUGAGAAUCCUGUUAAUGAUGAAUAUCAACCCUUGAGUACUUACUUUCUGGAUGAGGAAGUAGAUUCAGUUGAGGUAAUUCCAAAAGACACCAAUGCUUGGAAAAUGUUCUUUGACGGAGCUAUAAAUGCAAAAGGUAUUGGGAUUGGUGUAAUUUUGAUUUCGCCCACUGGUCAGCACUAUCCGGCCACAACCCGGCUUCGGUUCUUUUGUGCAAACAACACUGCCAAAUAUGAAGCUUGCAUUAUGGGCAUGAACAUGGCAACUGAUCUGGAUGUGAAGAAUUGUUGAUCAUGGGAGAUUUCGACUUAAUUAUUCGACAAGCUCAAGGUGAAUGGAAAACUCGAAAUAUCAAGCUUAUCCCAUACAUGCAACAUGUAGAAGAUCUUAGCAAACGGUUCAAGUUCGUCGAAUUCAGGUAUAUUCCCCGGUUCCACAAUGAGUUAGCUGAUGCACUAGCUAUGUUGCCUCAAUGCUGCCAUAUUUGGGCAAUGUCCACAUUGACCUACUGGAAAUCCAAAUUCGAGAAAGACAUGGUUAUUGCAAUGCAGUUGAAAUAGAACCAGAUAUUCAGCCAUGGUAUCAUGAUAUCAAAAGAUUCUUGAAAACAAAGGAAUAUCCCGAGUAAGCCAGUGGAGACCAAAAGAGAACCACUAGAAGGCUCGCCAACAGUUUCUUCUUUAGCGAAGAGGUCUUGUAAAAAAGAACUCCAAAUUUGAAUCUUUUAAGGUGCGUAGAUGCCCAAGAGGCUGGAAAAAUCAUGAACGAAGUGUAUUCGGGAGUAUGUGGCCCCAUAUGAACGGAUACGUCCUUGCCAAGAAAAUCCUUCGGGCAGGUUAUUACUAGAUGACCAUGGAAAAGGAUUGCUUCAGUUUUGUCCGAAAGUGCCAUCAGUGUCAGGUACGCGGUGACCUGAUUUAUGCACCGCCUUCAGAUUUGCAUCUUAUUUCAGUGCCUUGGCCAUUCGUUGCUUGGGGUAUGGAUGUCAUUGGGCCGAUCGAGCUGAAAGCUUCAAAUGGGCACAGAUUAAUUUUAGUUGCCAUUGAUUAUUUCACAAAGUGGGUUAAAGCAGUCACUUUCAAAGCCGUCACCAAGAAAGCGGUGGUGGACUUCAUGCAUUCCAACAUAAUUUGUCGUUUUGGUAUUCCUAAGACUAUCAUUACUGAAACUGCUGCAAACCUAAACAACCAUUUGAUGAGGUAGGUAUGCGAACAAUUUAAGAUCACACAUCAGAAUUCUACUCUUUAUCGGCCCAAAACUAAUGGUGUUGUUGAAGCGGCAAACAAGAAUAUCAAGAAGAUCCUCAGAAAAAUGAUUCAAAGUUCUAGACAAUGGCAUGAAAAGCUGCUUUUUGCAUUAUUGGGAUACCGCACAACCGUUCACACAUCUGUUGAGGCAACACCCUAUUUAUUGGUUUAUGGCACUGAAGCUGUAAUACCUGCAGAAGUUGAGAUUCCCUCUCUUCAAAUCAUUGUUGAAGCUGAGAUUGAGGACAAUGAAUGGAUCAAGAUGUGUUUAGAACAAUUAACCUUGAUUGAUGAAAAGUGGAUGGCCACAGUCUACCACGGGCAGUUAUAUCAACAAAGAAUGGCCGGUGCCUAUAACAAGAAAGUGCGGCCUAGAAACUUUGAAGUGGGGCAACUCAUUCUAAGACGUAUUCACCCGCAUCAUGAGGAAGCAAAAGGAAAGUUUGCUCCAAAUUGUAAAGGUCCGUACAUUAUAAGAAAACUAUUGCCGAAAAGGGCAUUGUACUUGGGAGACACUGAAGGAAAUGACCCUAAAACAACUGUCAAUGCGGAUGCGGUCAAAAGGUAUUAUGUUUAACCCCUUUUGCAGUAUUAAUAUUUCUCUUAUUGGGGUGACGAAGGAUUUCAUUCUUGCUACCCAAACACUAUCAACCAUUUGCAAACCCUUUGAGCCGGUUACUUUUCUUUGAUUACUCUCUUUGAAACCUAAAAGUGCUAUUGAACAAAAAACAAAAGAAAUCAAAAAAACAAAAGUUCCUUGAACUACGUUAGACUUGAUUCCGAAAGGAUACGUAGGCAGCCUCUUUUAGUCACACCAAAAUAAAAUCCACAAUUCCUUAAGUUGAAACUGGACAGAAGUUACAAUGAUUCGGCGAUGGUUUUGCCUGAAAGGUUCCAAAGUUGUAAUUCAAUUCAAAUUCUUUUUACCCUAAAUCCUAAUCAAGUCCUUCCGAUCAAUCGGUAAAGAUGUUCCAAAUUGGAGGAUAUGAUUACGUAAAUGAGAGAAAUAAAAUGAGAGUCUUAUUGGUGAAAACCCUUACGGGCACAAUAGGGCGAUGGUAAGCGGAGAAAUUGGAAACGAGAGAGUCUUAUUAGUGAAAACUUGCAAAGAGCACUAUAAGGCAAAAGUGAGAAGAGAAAUAAGAGAGGUCAGUUGGUAAAAACCUACAAAGGUCGCCACUGAUCGAAAAGGGGAUCCUCACAGUCAUCGGUAUCGCCAGAGUCCUGGCAAGGUUUCUCAGUUUUGAGGUAUGAGUUAUGAUGAGUUUAUGAGAGUUGGACGGUGUAAACAGAUCAUGUAUCCAGUCUAAGAGGCAUUUCAUGUUCAUUGAAGUCCUCAUGUACUCCAGAUAAGUCCUUUUUUCUUUUCCCCGAAAGAGACACCUCUCAUUUAAAUUCAUUACACUUUCCAUUUGUUUAUUUUUCUUUGAGUCCCUUUUAGUUUAAUUCUGUUUCGACAUUAUAACAAAGAAAGGACGACAAGAUUGAUUUACAGGGUUUUAUCUGAUACAAGCCAAUAUUCAAGAAAGCACCUAGCCUCGGCAGAUGCAUCGAGUCGACUUUGACUGGACAUGAUGACCGAUGCUUUGAAAUCAAAAACUCCUGAAAAGAAAGAAAACCAAAGUGAAAGGCCUACAAAGGUGUUUGCAAAAUAUGAUUUUAUAUAGUUAUUAAUAUUACUACUUUCGAAUAUGUUUUAAAUUAUACAAAUAAUAUGAGAAAGUUUAUGAUUUUUUCUUUAUUAUAAAGAUAGAAAUUAUUUUCUCACAAGAAAAGAAGGUUAUCUUUUUACCAAUUUAAGAAUUAAGCGUACGGGAAUUUUUACUCGUUAUAUGAGAUUAGAAAAAAUUAGAAGUUGAGAAAAUACGUGCAUUAUUUUUACAUGGACAUUUUAAUGAAAUAACAGUGUAUGUAUUUAUUUUAUAUGGUACCACAUGACCAUGAUAGUAAGUUAUAUAAAGUGUGUUAAAAAUGAGUUACAGAGUGGUCCGCUCGGGCCAGCACGUCACUGGGUGCCAGCCACGCCUCCCCAGGUUUGGGGUGUGAUAAAGUGGUAUCAGAGCGGGUCGUGUCCUAGGGAGUCUACAAAGCCAUGCCUAGUAGAGUCUCACUUAUGGGUGUGUUGCGCUCUACAUUUAUAAUUGAGAGGCUAUAGGGCAUUUAGGAGAUGUUACCGUUCUUUUUUUUUUUCAAAUCGUGCCAUAGAGCUGGGUCGUACGAGUCAGUAUGAAGCUUUCGCUAGAUUUUGUAUGCACCAGAAGUGCAAGUAUCACACUAGAGCUUUAAGGCGUAAUGUGGAAGGGAGGUUAUGAAAGAAGCAGAAGAUACGAUGCGAGAUUGAAAAAUAAGUAAGGUAAAGGUGAAAAAGAUACGAGAUACUCAAGUACAAAAGGUUGUGAGUAGUAGAGACUUUAGAUAUAGUUUGACUUUUAGUUUAAUUUACAGAGGAGACCCUAACAAAAGUUUUGUAAAUCUCUAAGAAUUAACAUUCGAGGACGAAUGUUCCAAAGGGCGGAAGGAUGUUACGNNNNNNNNNNNNNNNNNNNNNNNNNUAUAUAUAUAUAUAUAUAUAUAUAUAUAUAUAUAUAUAUAUAUUUAAUAUGGUAUUUUGAGUAGAAAACUUUUGUACAAAAAAAUGGGUUGAAAAAUAUGAUUUCAUAUAGUUAUUAAUAUUACUACUUUCGAAUAUGUUUUAAAUUAUACAAAUAAUAUGAGAAAGUUUAUGAGUUUUUCUUUAUUGUAUAGAUAGAAAUUAUUUUCUCACAAGAAAGAAGGUUAUUUUUUUUACCAAUUUAAGAAUUAAGCGUAAGAGAACUUUUAUUCUUUAUAUAAGAUUAGGAAAAAUUAAAGUUGAGAAAAUACGUGCAUUAUUUUUACAUGGAUGUUUUAAUAAAAUAAUAGUGUAUGUAUUUAUUUUAUAUGGUACCACAUGACCAUGAUAGUAAGUUAUAUAAAGUAUGUUAAAAGUGAGUUACAGAGUGGUUCGCUCGGGCCAGCACGACACCGGGUGCCAGUCACGCCUCCCCAGGUUUGGGGUGUGACAAAAGGCAAAAUAAAUUCAAAAAAGGAUGAGUCCUAAGCAACCAACCGUCAUGAAAAAGUCUGGAAAAGCCAGAUGUUAUCCAGGGUCAAAAAUGCAAUCGGUAUUUAGGAAACAACUAAUUGCAGAUGAAAGGGGCCGAGAUUAAGUGGUUGAAAUAAUCAAGGCCACAAAACCAACCACCGUUUCAAACUAACCAUUAUUCUUUGUUUAAGAAACAGGAAACAUGUGUAAUUCAAAGGAACCUUGCAAGAAGCAAGUGCAAUAAAAGAAACUGCGCAGAGACUAAAAUGGCUCUGCAGCAAUAAUGAAUCCAAACAGAAAUUAUACUCCAAAUUCUCUCCCACAUUUUACUCACUCGUUUUAAAUAAAAAUGAUGAAUGAAAAAAAAAGAAAAAAUAAAAAUGAAAUGAAAUAAAAAGAAAGAAAAGAAGAAAAGUUCAAAUCAUGGUAGUAUAGGGUCUCCAAUCCCUAGCAGCAUUUUUUCCAACAUAGUGUCUUAACUCCCUAGUUGAUGCCAGAAUAACCUGAUGAUUUUCCGACAUAGGGUCCCACUCCCUAGUUGAUGCCAGCAUAACCUGAUGACUUUUCUAACAUAGGGUCCCACUCCCUAGUUAAUGCUAGCAUAACCUGAUUACUUUUCCAAUAUAAGAUCUCACUCCCUAGUUGAUGCCGAUAUGACCCGAUAACUUUUCCAACAUAGGGUCCCACUCCCUAGUUGAUGCCAGCAUAACCUGAUGAUUUUCCGACAUAGGGUUCCACUCCCUAGUUGAUGCAGGCAUAACCGAAUGAGUUUUCCAACAUAGGGUCUCACUCUCUAGUUGAUGCUAGCAUAAACUGAUGACUUGUCCAACAUAGGGUUCCACUCCCUAGUUGAUUGUCACGACACUAGUUCGCCCUCCGUGAACUGUCGUGACGGUACCUAGUUUCUACGACUAGGUAAGCCUAACAAAUGCAGAAAAUAAACAAUUUGCAGAAGAAAUAAUUAAAACCAAGAUAACCGAAUUAAACAGUAUUUAAGAUGCCGCUUGGCAUAUACAAUAAAACUUUUGAAUUUAACAACAUUUCCCAAAACCCGGAAUCUCGUGAAACCACAAGCCUUUGAAUGUCUACAAGUUUCUAACUCCAGAAUGUCUAAAAAAAGUACAGAAGGGUUAAUACUUAAAGAGAGAAUAGAAAGGGACUCCUCGGUCUACGGAUGCGAAAGAUAUACCUCAAAGUCUCUGGAAAAAAUUCGCCCUGCCUCAAGGGUGAUAGGACUAAGUCAAAGUACCUGGAUCUACACAUGAAAGACAUGCGCAGAAAGGGCAUGAGUACACCACAACGGUACUCAGUAAAUGCCAAGCCUAACCUCAGUCGGGUAGUGACGAGGAAGGUCAGGGCCCUACUAAGAUUAAAUAAAAUAUAAGGUUUAACAGUAUAGAACAAAACAGUAUAACUAAGUACCACAAUCAAAGUAACACAUGAUAGAAAGAACAACAAUAACUACUAUAGAGGCAAAGUAAACACAGAAAGAAAUACAGCUCAACACAAAGAUAACAACCGAGGAUUUUUCAGAAUACAAUCCUGUAGUCCCAAAUAUAAAUAUCCAGUGGAUCUCCCGGAUAUCGUCCCGUAGUCCAAUUCAUAAUGCGAGGGGAUCUCCCGGAAUAUCGAUUUGUAGUCCCAAAUGUAAAUACUCAGUACAGGGAAAAUCUACCGGGUGCUGUCCCAUAGUUCCCAUGUAAAUGUGCAGGGGGAUCUCCCGGAAUACCGUUCUGUAGUCCCAAAGUAAACAUACAGGGGGAUCUCCCGGGAUACCAUCCCGUAGUCCCAAAAUAAACACACAGCAACAACAAGAAGAAUACACAGUUCAAUUUAAGUUCCAUACUAAGGUAAAACAGGUAUUUCUAACCAACAUUUUGCACGUAAUCCAAAUAAGGUAGUUUGAGCAAGUAAGGCAAUUAAGUCAAUUAGGCAUAUUUUUCUAAGCUAACAAUAUGCUUAAAUUGCAAGCGGUACAAACAGAAAAAGAAACAUAAUCGUAAUUACUUAAUGAAAAUCGAAUUUUCAACAAUUAGCACAAGUACGCACUCGUCACCUCACAUACCAAUAAUACUGAAUUCUAAGGGGAGUUCCCCCACACAAGGUUAGACAAGCCACUUACCUCGAACCAACUCAAAUUCAACCCGAAACCACAUUCUUGCCAUGAGUACUCGACUCCAAAUGGCCCAAAUCUAUUUAAUUCAAUUGCAUAAUGUAAAUAACACUUCAAGUAACUGAUUCUAUAAAUAAAUUCUAAGCUAAUACGCAAAAUUAGGUAAAAUGAAAAAAAUGCCCUCCGGGCCCAUGUCUCGUAAUCGGGUAAAAUUUAAAUUUUUAGAAUUCUCAUACUUUCAUGAGUUCAGUUAUACUAAAAUUACCAAAAUUGGACCUCAAAUGGUCCCUCAAAUCAUCAUUCAAAGCUCUCUAAUUAACCAAGUCCUAACCCCCAAUUUACCACUGAUUUUCCAUAAAUUUUCAUGCUUACAAUGAUACAAAUCACCUCAAUAACGAGUUUAAGGACCAAAGACCUUAACCCAAUGAAUUCCUCUGAAAAUCUCCCUUGAAAAUGCUCCCCAAAACUUCUUCCCGUUUGAAAAGAGGUGAAAAAUAACUCAAAUUCGCGAAGGCAACUAUUUAUAUGUUCUGCCCAGCGAAUUCGCUUCUGCGGUCAUGGGACCGCACUUGUGGUCCCGCUUUUGCAAAACAAAAGUCGCAUCUGCGACAAUUCACUAAACUCAGAUUUCGCACCUGCGGUUACCCAUACGCAGAUGUGAUACCACUUCUGCGGUGAAGCUCCCACUUCUGCGGCUCCUACUGGCUCUCGUCCUCUCCGCUUCUGCGAUUCUAGCGCCGCUUCUACGGCUCGACACCUGCGGGACCCAACCACAGAUGCGGUUAUUACAGAAAUUAGCAGCUUCAGCUGUAACUCCAAAUUCCAAAUCCUUCCGCCAACCAUCCGAAAUCACCUAGAGGCCCUCGGGACCUCAACCAAAAGCACAAACAAGUCUAAUACCACUCUCCAAACUUAUACCAAUCCUUAAAAUGCCUAUAACAACAUCGAAACAUCGAAUUAACCACGGAUUCAAGCCAAAGAACUCCAAAACUCUCAAUUUACGCUUUCGAUCAAAAAGUCUAUCAAACCUCGUCCGAAUGACCUGAAAUUUUGCACACAUGUCACAUUUAACACUACGGAGCUACUCCAACUUCCAGAAUCCCAUUCCGACACUUAGAUCAAAAUCUCACUAUCGAACGGGAAACUUCAAAAAUUCAACUUUCGGCAGUUUAAGCCUAAAUUAGCUACGGACCUCCAAAACACAAUCUGAUCAUGUCCCUAAGCCAAAAAUCACUCAAUGGAGCUAACGAAACCAACAAAAUUCCAUUCCGAGGCCGUCUUCACACUGCUCUGAUUACGGUCCAAUUUCUAGAACUUAUACUCUCAUUUAGGGACUAAGUGUCCCAAAACACUUUGCAACUCAAAACCAAAUAUCCCGACGAAUCGAAAUAGCAGAAACAAACACGGAAAAAAUAGUUAAUAAGGGAUCGGGGCAUAAUUUCUUAAAAUAACCGGUCGGGUCAUUACAUCCUCCCGCACUUAAACAUUCGUUCAUCCUCGAAUGAGCAUAGAGACAUACCUGAAGUAGUGAAAAGAUGAGGGUAACAGUUGCUCAUAUCCUGCUCAGUCUCCCAAGUCGCCUCCUCAACCGACUGACCCUGCCACUGAACCUUCACUGAUGCAAUGUUCUUUGAUCUCAGCUUUCGAUCCAGUCUGUCCAAUAUUGCCACUGGCUCCUCAACAUAAGAUAGAUCCUUGUCCAUCUGAACUGAACUGAAAUCCAGCAUGUGCGACGGAUCACCGUGAUACCUCCAGAGCAUCGAAACAUGAAAUACCAGAUGAACCCCUACCAAGCUGGGAGGUAAGGCGAGCUCAUAAGCAACCUCCAUAACAUGCCUCAAUAUCUCAAAAGGGCCAAUAAACCCAGGACUCAACUUCCCUUUCUUCCCAAAUCUCAUAAUGCACUUCAUGGGCGAAACCCGAAGUAGAACCCGCUAUCCAACUAUAUAGGAAACAUCACGAAUCUUUCGGUUCGUGUAACUCUUCUUUCUGGACUGGGAUGUGUGGAGUCUAUCCUAAUCACCUUAACCUUCUCCAAAGCAUCCUUAACCAAGUCGGUUCCCAAUAAUCUUGCCUCAUCCGGCUCAAACCAACCUACCGGGGAUCUAUACUGCCUGCCAUAUAAAACCUCAUAUGGUGCCAUCUGAAUGCUGGACUGAUAGCUGUUAUUGUAGGCAAACUCCGCCAAUGGCAAGAACUAAUCCCAAGACCCUCCAAACUCAAUCACACACGCACGAAACAUAUCCUCAAGAAUAUAAAUAGUGCGCGGUCUGUCCGUCUGAGGGUGAAAUGUUGUACUCAACUCCACCCGAGUACCCAACCCAUGUAGUACGUCCCUCCAGAACUGUGAUGUGAACUGAGUACCUCUUUCUGAAAUGAUGGAAACUGAAUACCAUACAGAUGAACAAUCUCCCAGAUAUAAAUCUCCGCUAGACGCUCCGAAAAUAGGUAGUAUACACAAGAAUGAAAUGCGCGGACUUGGUCAGCCGAUCCACAAUCACCCAAAUGGCAUCGAGCUUCCUCAAAGUUCGUGGGAGCCCAACUACAAAGUCCAUGGUGAUCCGCUCCCACUUCCACUCCGGAAUCUCUAUCUGCUGAAGCAACCUACCCGGUCUCUGGUGCUCAUACUUCACCUGCUGACAAUUGAGGCACCGAGCUACAAACCCAACUAUGUCUUUCUUUAUCCGCCUCCACCAAUAGUGCUAUCUCAAAUCCUGAUACAUCUUCGCGGCACUCGGAUGAAUGGAAUACCGCGAGCUAUGGGCCUCAUGUAAAAUCAACUCCCGAAGCCCAUCUACAUUGGGUACACAUACACGACCUUACAUCCUUAAUACCCUAUCAUCACCAAUAGUUACAUCUCUGGCAUCACCGUGCUGAACUUUAUCCUUAAGGACAAGCAAAUGAGGGUCAUAAAACUGACGCUUCCUGAUACGAUCAAAUAAGGAAGACCAAGAAACCACGCAAGCUAGAACCCGACUAGGCUCCGAAAGAUCCAAUCUCACAAACUGGCUGGCUAAGGCCUGAACAUCUAUCGUCACGGGCCUCUCCGCUGUUGGUAAAUAAGCCAAGCUCCCCAAACUCUCUUCCUGAUGACUCAAAGCAUCAGCCACCAUAUUGGUCUUGCUCGGGUGAUACAAAAUAGUGAUAUCAUAGUCCUUCAGCAACUCUAACCACCUCCUCUGGCGCAAAUUAAGGUCCUUUUGCUUGAACAUAUGCUGCAAGCUCCAAUGGUCAGUAUAAAUCUCACAAGGAACACCGUACAAAUAAUGGCGCCAGAACUUCAAGGCGUGAACAAUCAAGGUCGUGGAUAGGAUAAUUCUUCUCAUGAACCUUCAACUGUCUGGAUGCGUAGGCAAUCACCCUACCGUCCUGCAUCAAUACUACUCUAAGGCCAAUCCUCGAGGCAUCACAAUAGACAGUGUAAGACCCCGAACCUGUAGACAAUAUCUGGGUUGUGAUCAAAACUAUCUUGAGAUUCUGAAAAACUCACCUCACACUCUUCUGUCCACUAGAAUGGAGCGCCCUUCUGGGUUAGCCUGGUCAUAGGGGCUGCAAUCGAUGAAAACCCUUUCACAAAACGACGGUAGUAACUCACCAAGCCAAGAAAACUACGGAUCUCUAUAGCUGAGGAUGAUCUGGGCCAACUAUGCACUGCUUCUACUUUCUUCGGAUAUACCGAAAUACCCUCACUCGACACCACGUGGCCUAAGAAUGCUACAGAAUCCAACCAAAACUCAUAUUUUUAGAACUUAGCAUAUAAUUUCUUUUCCCUCAAGGUCUGAAUCACUGUCCUCAGGUGCUGCUCAUGAUCUUCUCGACUCCGAGAGUAUACGAGAACAUCAUCAAUAAAGACAAUGACGAAUAAGUCAAGAUAUGGCCGGAACACACUGUGCAUCAAAUGCAUGAAGGCUGGUGGGGCAUUUGUCAGCCCAAAUGACAUAAGAAGGAACUCGUAAUGACCAUACCGAGUCCUAAAAACUGUCUUCGGGAUAUCUGGCUCCCGAUUCUUCAACUUAUGGUACCCAGAACGCAAUUCAAUCUUAGAAAACACUCGUUCACCCUGUAACUGGUCAAACAGAUCAUCAAUACGAGGCAAAGGAUAGCGGUUCUUCACUGUAACUUUGUUCCAUAAUCAAUGCACAUACGCAUAGAACCAUCCUUUUUCUUCACAAACAAGACAGGAGCACCCCAAGGUGAUACACUAGGCCGAAUAAAACCCUUAUCAAGCAAUUCUUGUAACUGAUUCUUCAACUCAGGAGGGGCCAUAGAUACGGAAGAAUAGAAAUAGGUUGAGUGCCCAGCAACAGUCUAAUGCCAAAAUCAAUAUCUUUAUUGGGUGGAAUGCCCGGAAGGUCAACUAGAAACACAUCAGGAAAAUCCCGUACUACUGGGACUGAAUCAACUAUAUGGGUAUCAAUAUUGACAUCUCUAACAUAAGCUAGAUAUGCAUCACACCCCUUCUCAACCAUACGCUGAGCCUUAAGGAAUGAAAUAACUCUACUGGAAGUAUGAUCUAAGGUACCCCUCCACUCUACUCUUGGAGCACCUGCCAUAGCCAGCGCCACGAUUUUGGCAUGACAAUCAAAAAUAGCAUAAUAGGGCGAUAACCAGUCCAUGCCCAAGAUAAUACUGAAAUCUACCAUGCUGAGCAAUAACAAAUCGGCUCUGGUCUCAAAACCAUUAAGAGUAAUCAAACAUGACCGAUAAACACGAUCCACAACAAGAAAAUCUCCCACAGGAGUAGAAAUAUAAACAGGGGUACUCAAAGAAUCCCGAAGUACACACAAAUACGGGGCAAAAUAAGAAGACACAUAAAAAUAGGUGGAGCCUGGAUCGAAUAAAACCGAUGCAUCUUUAUGACAAACCAUAACAAUACCUAUGAUGACAGAAUUGGAGGCAACAACCUCAGUAUGAGCAGGAAGAGCAUAAUAUCUGGCCUGGCUUCCCCCUCUAGGGCGACCUCUACCUCCCCGACCUCCACCUCUAGCUGGCUGAGUAGGUGGGGUAGCAAUUGGAGCUGUAACCAUAGCUUGAGAACUCUGUGGGGCACGCUGUGGCUGAGAAGUUUGUAGAGGUGCACCCCUCCUAAGUUUGGGGCUCCUUUACCAUAUGGUGUGUGUCGCCACACUCAAAAUAAGAUUUGGGAGGAUGUGGCGGCUGUGAGUGGCUCGGUCCAGGUCUGCUAGACUGACCACUGAAAGCACCUCGCAUAGGAGGCACACUAGAUACUGGAGGUGCAUAAUAAGGUUCCUAAGGCCAAGAAGGAGCUGGAAUACCACUGGCUACUGGAAGAGCUGAAUGAAUGGGGUGACUCAUAUGACCCUUACCAUGACAAACUGUAGCUGGCGCAUAAGCACCAGAAUAAUGGCCCCACUCUCGAGACCUCUUGGCCUCCCUCUCCUAUCUCUCCCUAGCAUGCAUACCCUCAGUAUUCCUAGCAAUGCUCACCACCUGCUGAUAAGAAAUAUCCAUCUCUAACUCACGAGCCAUGCUAGACCUGAUACUGGGAAUAAACCCCUUAAUAAAUCGGCAAACCAUCUCGCGAACAAUAGAAAUCAAGGCUGGGUCAUGUCUAGACAAGCUAGUGUAACGGACAACAUACUCCGAGACAGUCAUAGUACCCUGGCGCAAAUGCUCAAACUCUUUGCGCCAUGCGUCCUUAAGGCUCUGAGGAACAAACUCUCUCAGGAACAUAUCUGAAAACUGAGUCCAAGUCAGUGAAGCUGCCUCAUCUGGACUGUCUAACUCAUAGGUACGCCACCACUCAUAGGCGGUUCCUCGAAGCUAGAAGGCAGUGAAAGAAACCCCACUCAAUUCUAAUAUACCCAUAGUGAGGAGGAUACGGUGACACUCCUCUAGAAAUACCAAGGCAUCAUCUGAUGCUAACCCACUGAAUAUAGGAGGAUCAUACUUCUUGAACCUCUCAAGCCUCCGCUGCUCAUCCUCUGAAGCCGCUGCCCUGUCCUUAGGCUGACCUGGGACUGCAGGCGGUAUAGGAAUAAUCUUUGGGACCUGAUCAACAUGCACUCGCUGCUCAGGAGUGCGGGAAGCAGGAGUCUGUUCUCCUCCCUCGGCUUGAGAUGUGGCUGCAGCAAGGGGAAGCAACCCUGCCAGAUCCAAAGUGGUGUACAUGCUCAUGAACUGUGCAAGAGUCUCCUGAAGAGCUGGAGUAGUAGUAGCAGUAAGCAUAUCAGGUGAUUGGACUCCGGCUAGAACUGCUGGUGGUACCUCGAUGGCAACUCGUGCGGGUGCUCUGGCUGCACCACGUGCGCGUCCUAGGCCUCUACCCCGGCCCCAGCCUCUGACAGCUGUAGUAGGGGGCGUGGGUGCCUGAUCAUCUCGGGUAGCAUGUGUCCUCAUCAUCUAGCAAAUAAGUAUAGACGUCUCUGUACUAAUUCGCGAGACUCUAAUAAACCGGCCUGCGAUUCAUGACUCCUAUGAACAUAGAGCUCUGAUACCAACUUGUCACGACCCCAGUUCAUCCUUCGUGAACUAUCAUGACAGCACCUAGUUUCUACGACUACGUAAGCCUAACAAAUGCGAAAAAUAAACAAUUUGCGGAAGAAAAAAUUAAAACCAAGAUAACCGAAUGAAACAAUAUUUAAGAUGUCGCUCGACAUAUACAAUACAACUUUUGAAGCUAACAACAUUUCCCAAAACCUGGAAUCUCAUGAAACCAUAAGCCUUUGAAUGUCUACAAGUUUCUAACUCCAGAAUGUCUAACAAAAUAGGUACAGAAGGGCUAAUACUUAAAGAGAGAAUAGAAAGGGACUCCUCGGUCUACGGACACGACAGAUAUACCUCGAGGUCUCUGGGAAAAAGUCACCUCGCCUCAAAGGUGAUAGGACUGAGUUGAAGUACCUAUAUCUGCACAUGAAAGACAUGCGCAGAAAGGGCAUGAGUACACCACAACGAUACUCAGUAUGUGCCAAGCCUAACCUCGAUCAGGUAGUGACGAGGAAGGUCAGGGCCCUACUGAGGUUAAAUAAAAUAUAAGGUUUAGCAGUAUAGAACAAAAUAGUAUAACUAAGUACAACAGUCAAAGUAACACAAGAUAGAAAGAACAACAACAACUACUACAAACGCAAAGUAAACACGGAAAUAAAUACAACUCAACACAAAGAUAACAACCGGGGAUCUACUAGGAUAUCGUCCUCUAGUCCCAAAUAUAAAUAUCCAUUGAAUUUCCCAGGAUACCGUCCCAUAGUCCAACUCAUAAUGCGAUUGUAUCUCUUAAAAUACCGAUCCGUAGUCCCAAAUAUAAAUACUCAGUACAGGGAAAAUCUACCGGGUGCAGUACCGUACUUCCAAUGUAAAUGUGCAGGGGGGAUCUCCCGGAAUACCGUUCCGUAGUCCCAAAGUAAACAUAUAGGGGGAUCUCCCGGAAUACCGUUUCGUAGUCCCAAAGUAAACAUAUAGGGGGAUCUCCCGGGAUACCGUCCCGUAGUCCAAAAAUAAACACACAACAACAACAAGAAGAAUACACAGUUUAAUUCAAGUUCCAAACCAAGCUAAAACAUGUAUUUCUAACCUAGCAUGCUGUACAUAAUCCAAAUAAGGAAGUUUGAGCAAGUAAGACAAUUAAGUCAAUUAGGCAUGUUUUCCUAAGCUAACAACAGGCUUAAAUUGCAAGUAGUAUAAAUAGGAAAAGAAAAAUAAUCGUAAUUACUUAAUGAAAAUCGGAUUUUCAACAAUUAGCACAAGUACGCACUCAUCACCUCACGUACCAAUAAUACUGAAUUCUAAGGGGAGUUCCCCCACACAAGGUUAGGUCAGCCAUUUACCUUGAACCGGCUCAAAGUCAACCCGNNNNNNNNNNNNNNNNNNNNNNNNNACCACGUUCUUGCCACGAGUACUCAACUCCAAAUGGCCCAAAUCUAUUCAAUUCAAUUGUAUAAUGUAAUAACACUUCAAGUAACUGAUUCUACAAAUAAAUUCUAAGCUAAUAUGUGAAAUUAGGUAAAAUGACCAAAACGCCCUUCGGGCACAUGUCUCGAAAUCGAGUAAAAUUUACAUUUUUAGAAUUCUCAUACUCUCACGAGUUCAGGCAUACUAAAAGUACCAAAAUCGGACCUCAAAUGGUCCCUCAAAUCAUCACUCAAAGCUCUCUAAUUAACCAAGCCCUAACCCCUAAUUUACCACUGAUUUCCUUAAAUUUUCAAGCUUACAAUGAUAAAAAUCACCUCAAUAACGAGUUUAAGGACCAAAGACCUUACCCCAAUGAAUUAUUCAGAAAAUCUCCCUUGAAAAUGCUCCCAAAGCUUCUUCCCGUUUGAAAAGAGGUGAAAAAUAACUCAAAUUCGCGAAGACAACUAUUUAUAUGUUCUGCCCAGCGAAUCUGGUUCUGCGGUCAUGGGAUCGCACCUAUGGUCCCGCUUUUGUGAAAUAAAAGUCGCAUCUGCCACAAUUCACUAUACUCAGAUUUUGUACCUACGAUUACCCAUACGUAGAUGCGGUACCACUUCUGCGGCUCCUGCUGGCUCUCCUCGUCUCCACUUUUGUGAUUAUAACACCGCUUCUGCGGCUCCGCACCUGUGGGACCCAACUGCAGGUGCAAUUAUGAUAGAAAUCAGCAGCUUCAACUACAACUCCAAAUUCCAAAUCCUUCUACCAACCAUCCGAAAUCACCCCGAGACCCUCGGGACCUCAACCAAAAGCACAAACAAGUCUAAUACCACCGUCCAAACUUAUACCAAUCCUUAAAACACCUAAAACAAUAUCGAAACAUCAAAUCAACCACGUAUUCAAGCCUAAGAACUCCAAAACUCUCAAUUUACGCUUUCGAUCAAAAAAUCUGUCAAACCUCGUCUGAAUGAUCUAAAAUUUUGCACACACGUCACAUUCAACACUAAGGAGCUACUCCAACUUUCGGAAUCCCAUUCCGACCCUUAGAUCAAACUCUCACUAUCGAACAGGAAACUUCAAAAAUUCAACUUUCGGUAUUUUAAGCCUAAAUUAGCUUCGGACCUCCAAAACACAAUCCGAUCAUGCCCCUAAGCCUGAAAUCACUCAACGGAGCUCAGCGGAAUUCCAUUUCGAGGCCGUCUUCACAUUGCUCCGACUAAGGUCCAAUUUCUAGAACUUAAACUCUUAUUUAGGGACUAAGUAUCCCAAAACACUUUGAAACUCAAAACCAACAUUCCGGCGAAUCAAAAUAGCAGAAAUAAAUACGGGGAUAAUAGUUAAUAUGGGAUCGGGGCGUAAUUUCUUAAAAUGACCGGCCGGAUCAUUACAUUGAUGUCGGCAUAACCCAGUGACUUUUCCAAAAUAAGGUCCCACUCCCUACUUGGUACCAGCAUAACCUGAUGACUUUCCCAACAUAGGGUCUCACUCCUUAGUUGAUGCUAGCAUAACCUGAUGAUUUUCCGACAUAGGGUUCCACUCCCUAGUUGAUGCCGGCAUAACCCAAUGACUUUUCCAAUAUAGGGUCCCACUACCUAGUUGAUGUCAACAUAACCUGAUGACUUUUCCAACAUAGGGUCUCACUCCCUAGUUGAUGCUAGCAUAACCUGAUGACUUUUCCGCAUAGGGUCCCACUCCCUAGUUAAUGCUAGUAUAACCUGAUGACUUUUCCAGCAUAGGGUCCCACUCCCUAGUUAAUGCUAGUAUAUCCUGAUGACUUUUUGAGCAUAGGGCCUCGCUCCCUAGUUGAUUCCAGUAUAACCUGAUGAUUUUCCGACAUAGGGUUUCACUCCCUAGUUGAUGCCGUCAUAACCCGAUGAGUUUUACAACAUAGGGUUUCCAAUCCCUAGUUGAUUUUACUUUUUAGACAUAGGGUCUCUACUCUCUAAUCUCCUUUUCCUCAGGGAUACACAAUCCUAACUUUUAUUUCUUUCAAUAAUGAAGUAGUUAUAAAUGACUCACGAAUUUUUUUUAGUGAAAACUGAUGCAGAAAAUUUUGUUCGUUUGUUUAUUUUGGUGUCUGAGCAGGUUACACCUCGAGACACAGGGUUUGAGACGAUUAGAAGAAGAAGUCUCAAUCCAGAAUAAAAGAAAAAGAAGAAAAGAAAAAGAAGUGAACUCAAAGUGUAGAAGCGGAGAAAAGACAUGGGCUGCUCAAGACACGAUUGAAGUCAUAAGAUUUGCAUGUCCCGUCUUGAUCCGAGAAGUUGAAAAAGGAAGGGACCAGCACAUGUAGCUAGCAAGCAUCAAGAUUCAGAUCAGAGUCUGUCUGAAGAACCAGCCACGGCUCUAGAUCAAGCUUUAGAAGAUUUGUAGAUAUGAGUCUUGUAACUCGUAGCUGAUAUGUUUAGUUAGUCUUUUCAUUCUGAUUUUGGUCUAAUACGGAGCUCAGCAAGCAGCAACAACAACAACAGUAGUGAAAUUACAGCCUUUCGGUAGUCCUAGCUACCAAAACUUCUAGAACUACACUAACCCGAUUCCUUUAUAAUCAGGGAUAUGUAGGCAACCUCCGAAGCAAGGUUCGGUCAAACUUUUCAAAUACUUCUUAGGGAGUAUCCAAACGGGCAAAAAUCACUCGUAAUUGCUCAUUUUAUCUUUGCCCGAAAACUCUUCAUGUUUUCGAGCAAAGAGGGGCAGCUAUGAACACAUGAUUUUUGCCCGACUAGAAAUACUCCUACAAAAUUUUAAAAAAAAAAGGUUUUCUAAAUUAUUUUCAGUUUUAGAGAAUUUUAUAGGAUUUUCUUAAUUAAUUGUUUGCAUUUUUGGUGCACAUUUAAUAUUUUUAAAAUCAUAGAAAAAUAUUAAAAAAUAUCCAAAUCAUCAUGACAUAGCAUUUUUAGGUUUUAGUUGCAUUUAGAAUUUAAUUUCAUAAAUUAGUUGCAUUCAUUAAAUAAAAAUUAUAAAAAUUACCAUAGUCAUGCCUACAUUUUUAAUUUUAAUUAAUUAGUGUUAAAUUAGUGAAAAUAAGUAUGAUAAUUUUACAAAAAUAGAUUAAUUUAGAAUCUAAAUAGGAUUUCAUUUAGUUUAUUUAGGAUUUAUUAAAGUUUAAAAAUAAGAAGGAGAAGAAAAGAAUGAAGAAUACAAGGGAAAGGGAUAUCAAACCGGAUUGGGCCAAAUAUAACGGCCAAAUUGAUUUUGAAUUAUCCAAGCCCUAACCAAACCCCACCCAGUCCAACUUUUUUUUAACCAAAUGACGUCGUUUGGUUUCAAGCCAUCUCAGCUGUUCAUCAAACGUAAUCGGAUGGUUGGGAACUAACUUUCCCCCUAUAUAACUGUCUGAACGAACCUCCUAACCCCAAACCCCCUCCCCCUUAUUCUCUUCUCUCUCUCAGAUACCUAAACCUAGCCUCCCCCAAAUUCCCUCAGAACCCUAGCCGCCUAGGAUUCCUCCGUCGUCCAAAAAUUGCCUGAAGGUGGCGGACCACUCCCAAAUCUAACCAAAUCACUACCCCACACUCCUCACCUCACACUCAUCAUCAAUCCACCAUCAUGUGAUGACCCAAGAGGUCAUCUCCUGUUUUUAACAGGAAUUCUGUAUUUCGAGGCUUUAAAAAUCUCUUUUAGCAUCACCUCAAUUUGCGUGCGCAGUUCGGACGCAUAGCCGAAAAGCCUAAAUAUGAAAAUAUGUGAAAAAUAAUAAAUUUUAACUAUAAAAUGAAUUAAUUUUACCUCGGUCAAUGUUUUGGAUAAACGGACCCAGACCCGUGAGUUGAUGGUCUCGGAGGGUCCGUAGGAAAAUAUUGGACUUGGGCAUAUGCCCGGAAUCGAAUUUCGAGGUCCAAGCCCGAGAAAUGAAUUUAUUAAAGAAAAUUAUUUUCUGAAAUUGUUUAAAGAAUUUGGAAAUGAAUUUUGAUUAGGGCAUGUUGUUAUCGGGCCCGUAUCUUUGGUUCUGGCACCUGGUACAGGUCUUAUAUGUGAUUUAAGAUAAUUCUGUGAAGUUUGGUGAGAAACGAAAUCCGUUUGACGUGAUUCCGACCUUAAAUGCAAAUUUGAUGUUUAAAGAAGUUUUGAGAAAAUUUUAUUGAUCUUGAGGUUUAAUUCGAUGUUCAUGAUAUUAUUUUGGUGAUUUGAGUACACGAAUAAGUCCGUAGGAUGUUUUUAUGGUUGUGUGUAUAUUUGGUUUGGAGCCCCGAGGGCUCGGAUGAGUUUUGAAUAGGCCACGGGGUGCAUUUUGAACUUAGAAAAAUUGCAGGAUUUUUGUUGGUGUGAUCAAGCCUGCAGGCUUCGCACUCGCAAAUGCGAUAUCGCAAAUGCGAGGGCUUGGUCGCAAAUGCAAACCAUCCUAGGCCUUCCUUAUCUCGCAAAUACGAGUUGUGCUACACAAUUUCGACCUCACAAAUGCGAGGGUCCCUUUAGCAAAUGCGAAAAAUCCAGAUUUCCUAAGGGUUCGCAAAUACGAGCUUCCCUUCGCAAUUUCCAAGCCAGCAGAGGUCGGGGUUCGCAAUUGCGAAUCCCUGUUCGCAAUUCCCACAUCUGAUACCUGCAACUUUUAUACUUAGACGAUUUUAAAACCAUUUUUCAUAUCCUCUCAAAACAUAAACACACUAGAGCAAUUUUUCAAAGGCUUCUUCUUCUCCAAAUCAUUUGUAAGUCAUUUUUAACUCAUUUUCUUCAAUCAUUAACAUCUUUUGAUUUCAACUUACAAUCAAUGAUUUUCAUGGGGAAAUUGGGUGUUUUGGGUAGAACCUAGGUUUUUCAAAAAUUGAGGAUUUAGACCUCGAUUUGAGGUCCGAUUUCAAAAAAAAUUAUAUAUUUGGGUUUGUGGGCGAAUGGGUAAUAAGGUUUUGGUUCGAACCUCGGGUUUUGAACAUGUGGGUCUGGGGGAGAUUUUUGACGUUUUGGGCAAAACUUUGGAAAACUCAUUUUCAUGCAUUCAAAUUUAUUCAUUUAGCGUUUAUUGAUGUAAUUAAGUAACUUUUGACUAGAUACGAGCGAAUUGGUGGUGGAAUCAUGAGGUAAAGCUAUAGUUGGGGCUUGAGUUGUAUUCGUGGCAUCGAGGUAAGUGUUUGGUCUAACCUUAGCUUGAGGGAUUAGAAGUUGUGUCCUAUUUGCUAUUUAUUACUUGUUGAGUCCACGUAUAGGCAUGGUGACGAGUAUCUAUACAUUGGUGUCGAGCAUGACCGUGAGUCUUAUAUUGUGAUUUUCAUGACUUCGUUGUGUUAUUCAUGUCUUGGUUAAGGUUUCUAUUAUUGUGGAAAGUUUGUGGAAAGAAUUGUGACUUAUGAACAUUGAGGAGCGUUGUCUCAAGUUGUAUAACAAAUUGUGAAAGUAUAAGUGAUAAUUGAACCUCUAGAGCAUUGGCUCGAGUUGUAAAGUGAAUUGUGUAUUAAAGGUGAGAAAGAGAAGAGAUCAUUAUGUUGCCCCCUUGAUGGGCUAUUGUUGAGUUGUGGUUCCCUUGCAUUGGUUAUAGAUGAGGUAGUUAGAUGUUGUAACAAGUUUGAUUAUAGCUGAGGUAGUUAGAUGUUGUAACAAGUUUGGUUAUAGUUAUUUCUCCAUUGCGAGGACAUAAUUACUUAUGCUGCCGGAUCCCUUGCCGGGAUAGUGUAGACCUUAUUGAUCCCUUGUCGGGACUCUUGUUAUAAUUGUAAAUAUUAUAUAUGGAUUAGAUUGCACGCCGUAAUAAUAUUAUAUGUGGAUCGGGUUGCACGCCGCAACAAUGAUGUAUGUGGAUCGGGUUGCAUGCCGCAACAAUGAUAAAUGAUAUGGAUCAGGUUGCACGCCGCAACAAAGAUAUAUGUGGAUCAGGUUGCACGCCGCAACAAUGAUAAAUGAUAUGGAUCGAGUUGCACAUCGCAACAGUGUUGUUAUAUAUUGGGAUCGGGUUGCGCGCCGUAACAAUUAUUGAUACAAGUGUGUUUAGCUUGGAUAUUAGUUUCUUUUGUUUUGAUGUGAAUUCUAAGCUGCCCUUAGACUGUUACUCUUGAUUUACUAUUAAUAUUGGUAUACCCCCGUUGCAUGUAUCCCCUCCCAUCCUUACUUGUUCAUUUUUAUUUUAUUUUCCGAUGUACAUUAUAUACUGCACCGAUUUAUUUGGUAGUCUGGUCCUAGCCUCGUCAUUAAUUCGCCGAGGUUAGGCUAGGCACUUACCAGCACAUGGGGUCUAUUGUGUUGAUGCUACACUCUGCACUCUUUUGUUCAGACCCUAGUGUUGUAGACUUCAGACCGCAGUUGGAUUGCUGAUUCUUGUUCAUCAGGCGACCCGAGGUAGCCCUGCAGGCGUCUGCAGGCCUUGGCGUCUCCUUCCAUCUACUAUUCUUGUUUCUUUCAUGCAUUUCUAGAGAUAGUGUUGCAUUUAUUUAUUUCAGACCUUUAUUUGUAGUGUUCUUAGACCGUCUAUGAAACUGUGACACCAGUUCUGGGUAGUCGAGAUUCAAACAGUUUUUUGGAUUCAUAUUUUGAUAGCUUAUUGCUUUUUCUUCCGCUUAUGUUAAAUUCCGCUGUUUAAAUAUUAUUACUUCGAAAUUGUUAAUGAAUAUAAAAUGGGUAAAAAGGUAAAUUGUGCAAAUAAUUGUCUUGCCUAGCUCGUAUUAGUAGGAGCCAUCAUGACUCCCGAGGGUGGGAAAUUCUGGUCGUGACAAGUUGGUAUCAGAGCUCUAGGUUACAUGGGUCUCACAGUUCACAAAAAAGCUUAGUAGAGGCUACAGAGUUAGGAAAAACUUCACAUUCAUUCUUUCCUAUCGUGCGAUUUUAUUCUCUCAGUGCUAAAUUGAAACCCCUACUCUUGUCCUUUCGCGUAUGACGAGGUCACAUACCGCUUCUUCAGCCAAACAAUAGCUCAGACCGGUGAUAGGUCAGCUACGUCUUCGGAGGAUUUAUGGAGGUUGGAUAGGUUCACAAAGCUCUUCACGAGGUUCUCAGGAACAUGGGGAUAGUUGAGACCAAUGGGGUCGAUUUUGCCACUUUUCGCUUGUCUGGAUCAACCAAGACUUGGUGGAGGGAUUUCUGUUUGGCUAGAUCAGCCGAAUCACCAGAUUUGACUUGGGAGCAGUUUACUCAGCUAUUUCUGGAGAAGUUCCUCCCCAUCACUCAGAGAGAGGCCUAUUGGAGGCAGUUUGAGCGUCUCCAGCAGGGUUUUAUGACUGUUACCCAGUAUGAGACCAGAUUCAUCGACCUAGCUCGUCAUGCUCUUGUCAUACUUCUCACCGAGAAAGAGAGAGAGAGGUUAAGGAGGUUCAUUGAUGGACUUAUUCAGCCGAUUCAUUUUCAGAUGGCUAGGGAGACUGGGAGUGAGAUUACUUUCCAGGAGGCGGCCAAUUUGGCCGGGAGAGUGGAGAUGGUUCUGUCGUAGGGAGGUAGUCAUGGGUCGGACAAGAGGCCCCGUCAUUUAGGCAGAUUUAGUGGUGCCUCAUCUAGAGGCAGGGAUUCGUAUGGUAGAGGCCAUCCUCCCAGGCACUUUCAGUCAGUGCUUCAGGUUUCUCAAGGUGCUUCAGGUGGCCGUGGUUCUCACAUGCAGUAUCCAGAUCAGCAGAUCUACAGUACACCACCGGCUCCUAUCAGUGCACCGCCGCUCCAGAGUUUUUGGGAUGGUCAUUCAGGUCGCCAGGGUCAGUCUUAGUUUCCUCAGCCGUAACACUCAGGUGGAUGUUUUGAGUGUGGUGAGUAUGGUCAUAUUAGGAGGGCUUGUCCGAGAUUGGUGGGUACUCAGUCGUAGCAGCAGGGUUCCCGUGCUAUGUUUCAGGCAUCAAGUGUUCCACAGACCGCCCAGCCAGUUAGAGGUGGAGGUAGAUGUGCUAGGGGUGGAGGUAGAGGUGCUAGAGGUAGAGCUCCGACCAAUAGAGGUGGAGGCCAGCCAACUGCAGGCCGUCCCAGAGAGGUAGUCCAGGGUGGUGGGGGCCAGCCCUGAUGUUAUAAUCUUCCAGCCAGGCCUGAGGCUGAGGCUUCCGAUGUAGUUAUCAUAGGUACUGUUCUGGUUUGUGGCAGGGAUGCUUCCGUUUUAUUUGAUCUAGGGUCUACGUACUCCUAUGUGUUAUCUUAUUUUGCACCAUAUCUGGUCAUGCCUAGUGAUUCCUUGAGUGCCCCUGUAUAUGUGUCUACAUCGGUGGGUGACUCUAUUGUGGUAGAUCGAGUUCAUCGUUCCUGAAUAGUUGUGAUUGGAGGUCUUGAGACUCGUGUAGAUUUGCUUCUUUUGGACAUGGUCGAUUUUGAUGUUAUAUUAGGGAUGGACUGGUUUUUACCUUACCAUGCUAUCUUGGACUAUCAUGCCAAGAUUGUGACCUUAGACUUACCGGGUUUACCUUGUUUAGAGUGGAGAGGGACUCCUGGUCAUUCUACCCGUAGUGUUGUCUCUUAUGUGAAGGAUCGACGUAUGGUCGAGAAGAGGUGUUUGGCCUAUUUGGCAUAUGUUCAUGAUUCUAGUGUUGAGGUUCCUUCUAUUGAUUCUGUGCCUGUUGUUCGUGAGUGUCUUGAGGUAUUCCCUUCAGAUCUCGCCGGGUAUGCCACCGGAUAGGGAUAUUGAUUUCUGCAUUGAUUUGGCUCCGGUCACUCAGCCCAUUUCUAUCCCAUCGUAUCGUAUGGCCCCGCCUGAGUUGAAAGAUUUGAAGGAGCAGUUGCAAGACUUGCUUGACAAGGGUUUCAUUAGGCUGAGUGUUUCGCNNNNNNNNNNNNNNNNNNNNNNNNNNNNNNNNNNNNNNNNNNNNNNNNNNNNNNNNNNNNNNNNNNNNNNNNNNNNNNNNNNNNNNNNNNNNNNNNNNNNNNNNNNNNNNNNNNNNNNNNNNNNNNNNNNNNNNNNNNNNNNNNNNNNNNNNNNNNNNNNNNNNNNNNNNNNNNNNNNNNNNNNNNNNNNNNNNNNNNNNNNNNNNNNNNNNNNNNNNNNNNNNNNNNNNNNNNNUAUCAUUAUAAUUGUGGCUCGGUGUUUGAAUUGUCAGCAGGUUAAGUACGAGCAUCAAAGGCUCGGUGGUUCAUUUCAAAAGAUUGAGAUUCCUGAGUGGAAGUGGAAGCGUAUCACUAUGGACUUCGUUGUUGGUCUUCCACGGACUCAGAGGAAGUUUGAUGCAGCGUGGGUUAUUGUUGAUAGGCUGACCAAGUUAGCACAUUUCAUUCCUGUGGCAAUCUCAUAUUCUUCUGAAAGGUUAGCUGAGAUCUAUAUCCGUGAGGUUGUUCGUCUUCAUGGUGUGCCCGAGUCUAUCAUUUUAGAAUGAGGUACGCAGUUUACCUCCCAUUUCUAGAGAGCAGUUCAGCGAGGAUUGAGCACAUGGAUUGAGUUGAGCACAUCGUUUCAUCCUCAGAUGGAUGGGAAUUCCGAUCGGACUAUUCAGAUUUUGGAGGUUAUGCUCUGAGCUUGUGUCAUUGACUUUGGAGGCUCGUGGGAUCAAUUUUUGGCUUUAGCAGAGUUUGCCUACAACAACAGCUACCAGUCGAAUAUUUAGAUGGCCCCAUAUGAGGCUUUAUAUGGUAGGCUAUGUCUGUCUCCGAUUGGAUGGUUUGAGCUGGGAGAUGCUCGGUUAUUGGGUACGGAUCUGGUUUAGGAGGCCUUGGACACGGUUAGGAUCAUUCUGGAUAGGCUUCGUACAUCUCAGUCUAGGUAAAAGAGUUAUGCCGACCGUAAGGUUCGUGAUUUGGUAUUCAUGGUCGGUGAGCGGGUAUUGCUUCGAGUGUCGCCUAUGAAGGGCGUGAUGAGAUUUGGGAAGAAGAGCAAGCUUAGCCCUAGGUUCAUUGGCCUAUUUGAGAUUCUUGAUCGAAUGGGAGAGGUGGCUUAUAGACUUGCAUUGCUGCCGAGCUUAGCAGCCGUGCAUCCAGUGUUUCAUGUCUCCAUGCUUUGGAAGUAUCAUGACGAUCCAUCCAACGUGUUAGAUUUCAGCAUUGUCCAGUUGGACAAGGACUUGUCUUAUGAGGAGGAGCCGAUAGCUACUAUAGACCAGCAGGUUCGUCAGUUGAGAUCGAAGAGUUUUCCUUCUGUUCGUGUUCAGUGGAGAGGUCAGCCUCUUGAAGCAUCGACCUGGGAGUCCGAGUCUGAUAUGCGGAGCCAUUAUCCCUAUUUUUUCCCCGACUCAGGUACUUCCUUCUUCUAUCUGUUCAAGGACGAACAAUUGUUUUAGAGGUGGAGAAUGUGAUGACCCAAGAGGUCAUCACUUGUUUUUAACAGGAAUUCUGCAUUGUGAGGCUUUAAAAACCUCUUUUAGCAUCACCUCGAUUUACGUGCACAAUCCAGACACGUAGUCGGAAAGAUAAUUCCGUGAAGUUUGGUGAGAAAUGAAAUCCGUUUGACGUGAUUCGAACCUUAAAUGCAAAUUUGAUGUUUAAAGAAGUUUUGAGAAAAUUUCAUUGAUCUUGAGGUUUAAUUCGAUGUUCAUGAUGUUAUUUUGGUGAUUUGAGUACACGAAUAAGUCCGUAUGAUGUUUUUAUGGUUAUGUGUAUAUUUGGUAUGGAUCCCCAAGGGCUUGGGUGAGUUUUGGAUAGGCCACAAGGUGCAUUUUGAACUUAGAAAAAUUACAGGAUUUUUGUUGGUGUGAUCAGGCCUGCAGGCUUCGCAUUUGCGAAGCCUGGCUCGCAAAUGCGAUAUCGCAAAUGCGAACCAGCCCAGGCCUGCCUUAUCUCGCAAAUGCGAGUUGUGCUCCGCAAUUCCAACCUCGCAAAUGCGAGGGACCCUUUCAAAAAUGCGAAAAAUCUAGAUUUCCUAAGGGUUCGCAAAUGCGAGCUUCCCUUCGCAAUUUCCAAGCCAGCAGAGGCCGGGGUUUGCAAUUGCGAACCCCUAUUCGCAAUUCCCACAUCUGAGACCUGCAACUUUUAUACUUAGAUGAUUUUAAACCCAUUUUUCAUAUCCUCUCAAAAUAUAAAUACACUAGAGCGAUUUUUCAAAAGCUUCUUCUUCUCCAAAUCAAUUGUAAGUCAUUUUUAACUCAUUUUCUUCAAUCAUUAACAUCUUUUAACAUGAUUUCAACUUAAAAUCAAUGAUUUUCAUGGGGGAAACUGGGUGUUUUAGGUAGAAACUAGGUUUUUCAAAAAUUGGAAAUUUGGACCUCGAUUUGAGGUCCGAUUUCAAAACAAAUUAUAUAUUUGGGUUCGUGGGGGAAUGGGUAAUCGGGUUUUGUUUUGAACCUCGAGUUUUGACCAUGUGGGCCCGGGGGCAAUUUUUGACUUUUUGGAUAAAACUUUGGAAAAUUCAUUUUCAUGCAUUCAAAUUGAUUCAUUUAGCGUUUAUUGAUGUAAUUAAGUAACUUGUGACUAGAUUCGAGCGAAUUGGUGGUGGAAUCACGAGGUAAAGCUAUAGUUGGGUCUUGAAUUGUAUUCGUGGCAUCGAGGUAAGUAUUUGGUCUAACCUUAGCUUGAGGGAUUAGGAGUUGUGUCCUAUUUGCUAUUUGUUUCUUGUUGAGUACGAUGUAUAGGCAUGGUGACGAGUAUCUAUAUGUUGGUGUCGAGCAUGACCGUGAGUCUUAUAUUGUGAUUUUCAUGACUUCAUUGUGUUAUUCAUGCCUUAGUGAAGGUUUCUAUUGUUGUGUAAAGUUUGUGGAAAGAAUUGUGACCUAUGAACAUUGAGGAGCAUUGGCUCAAGCUGUAUAAUGAAUUGUGAAAGUAUAAGUGAUAAUUGAACCUCUAGAGCAUUGGCUCAAAUUGUGAAGUGAAGGUGAGAAAGAGAAGAGAUCAUUGUGUUGCCCCCUUGCCGGGCUAUUGUUGAGUUGUGGUUCUCUUGCAUUGUGUUCUUAGUUGAUAUUACGGAUGCUUAGGUUUAUGAUUCUUUACAUUGGGUAAGGAUUAUGGUUAUUCUCGGGGAACAAGUUUGGUUAUAGCUGAGGUAGUUAGAUGUUGUAACAAGUUUGAUUAUAGUUGAGGUAGUUAGAUGUUGUAACAAGUUUGGUUAUAGCUGUUUCUCCAUUGCCGGGACGUAAUUACUUAUGCUGUCGGAUCCCUUGCCGAGAUUGAUCCCUUGUCGGGACUCUCAUUUUAAUUGUAAAUAUUAUAUGUGGAUCGGGUUGCACGCCACAACAAUAUUAUAUAUGUAGCGGGUUGCACGCUGCAACAAUAAUAUAUGUGGAUCGGGUUGCACGCUGCAAUAAUGAUAAAUGAUAUGGAUCAGGUUGCACGCCGCAACAAAGAUAUAUGUGGAUCGGGUUGCACGCUGCAACUAUGAUAAAUGAUAUCGAUCGGGUUGCACGCCGCAAUAGUGUUGUUAUUUAUUGGGAUCGGGUUGUGCGCUCAACAAUUAUUGAUACAAGUGUGUUUAUCUUGGAUAUUAAUUUCUUUUGUUUUGCUGUGAAUUCUAAGUUGCCCUUAGACUGUUACUCUUAAUUUACUGUUAAUACUGGUAUACCCCCGUAUCAUGUAUCCCCUCCCAUCCUUACUUGUUCAUUUCUAUUUUAUUUUUCGAUGUACAUUAUACUGCACAGGUUUAUUUGGUAGUCUGGUCCUAGCUUCGUUACUACUUCGCCGAGGUUAGGCUAGGCACUUACCAGCACAUGGGGUCGGUUGUGCUGAUACUACACUUUGCACUCUUUUGUGCAGACCCCAGUGUUGUAGACUUCGGACCGCUGUGGGAUUGCUGAUUCUUGUUCAUCGUAUUAGUAGGCGCCAUCACGACUCCCGAGGGUGGAAAAUCCGGGUUGUGACACAUCAAUUUUCCCGAAAACCUUCCCUGAAUUCCUCUAAAUUCGGAUCUAAGAAACUGAAACCCUAGUUUUUCUCAUUUAUUCUUUUCUUCUCCUUUGAUUGACUGUUUCAGUCACUCUAUUCAUCAAAACUUCACGAGUUUUUCAUUUCAAGAAGAUCUGGCCAGAAAAUUUCAAGCCGGAUCUUCUGAAACAAAAGAUCUACUGAUGGUUAAGCGCUGAGGGUUUUAGGCGUCACAACUCUUCUCAUUCUUGUCGACUUAGAGUUGGUAAGGUUCUGUUACUGUUUUGUUUAUCCUCCCUUAUUUUUUCUCUUUUCUUUCUUUUCCCUUGUCUCUCUUACUUGAAUAAUUUUAGUAGUUUAAUAACUCUGUGAUUCUAAUUGAACUGUUUGAUCUCAGCAUGUUAACUCAAAAAAAGGACCUAAUAGUAACUAAUUCUGUGUUUGCCAGUUUAAAAUUAGCAAUCAUCAGUUUUCAAUUUUCUCUUAUUUUUCAUUUUUUUAGAUAGUUGAUAGAUUAAUUCCACAAGCUUGGUUUUGUUGAAAUCACUAUGUCCAUGCCUGUUUCGCUUAUCAGUUGAAGUGAUUAGUUUAUUUCUGAGUUUAGUGAUUUUAAUUCAUAUUAUCAACUGAUUUAAGUCUAAAAAUCUAAGCAAGAAAAAGAGGAUUUAUGAAAGGAUUUAAACAAGGUUUGAAUGGGGAUUUGGGUAAUAACAGAAACGUUAGGGGAUUAAUUCGAAACCAAAAUUAGGGAGUCUACGUCUGGAAUUGCCUAGAAGGUUCUAGAGGAUUCUAGAAGGGACUAAAGUGUAAUGAAAUAACUGAAAUUAAGUCAGAUUUGGUUGAAAAGGUUAAUAACAAGAACUUAAAAGGGUUAAUUUGGAAGUAAGAAUGGAUAAACUUUAGGUAAAAAUAUCAAAAGUUUCUAGUAAUGGACAACUGUCUCUUUUUUGGUGUUGAAAAAUGCUAAAAAUUGGUAAAAAGGACAGUUGUGCUAGGUCUGUUGAAAAAGAUGUUGUAUUAUCCUUUUUUACAGCUGACAUUUCUGAUUUUUAGGAUAGAAUAUUCGCUAUUAUUCUUAUCCUUAUGUAUUUUUCUUAUACUUUAUAAAAAGGAACCUCACUCCCACUCACACACACACGCUAAUCCUCUACAAAUUCACUCACAAAAAGAGAAGAAUUCAAUCUUGAUUUUCAUGCUCUUAUACUGACUUCUUCCCAAAAUGAUAGCUAGGGAUUCCAUUUUAAUACAAAAUGAAGAUUUAAGGUUCAUCUUGAUUUCCUGUUUGUUUCCUAUCACUGGAAUUUUCUGGAUUUCUGGGUUUGAGGUUUUAAGGCUAUUGUCUAUUGCUCUCUACUGUUGUAUUCUUGCAGCUGUUUCUUCCAAUUUGUUUAGAGGCUCAUCACCUUCUUCUAUUUAUUUGUAGCUAGUAAGGUAUAUGCUAAUAGUUUUUCGAAUAAUGUAGUUGGUAUUUGAAUGUCACAUUGCUUUGAGAUUUUAGCUGUUUGUUCACUUCAUGUAUACUGAAUGCUCUUUUCUUUCAUGUUUGAUUGCGAGUUUAAGUUUGAUUUAAAGCAUCAGAUGUGUUGAAUGUCUCAAACCUUAAUGAAAUAAGAAACAAGUGUUAAAAUUAGUUCUUUUUUUAGCUUUUGAUUGUCAAGGUAUACGUGAAGUUCUGAGAUUCCCUAAAUGUUUGAGGUUUCCGAAACUUGAUAGCAUUUUUAGUGUAAAGUCCUCCCCUUUUGAAAUCAUUUUAUUUUGUAUUGUUGGCAUUUGGUAAUGCAGGAGUUUGUGAGUGCUUGGCACAAGGCUCAGAUUUGCGAAUCUAGCCACUGGUUAGUUAGCUUUUUGUAAAUGAUAGGCAACUUCAAGAACAAUACAAAGUUGUUGCUAAUUGAUUACAGGCAGAUUCAAAAUCAAUUUGAUUCUGGCCUAUGCAAACUACAUUUCUUAAUUUAGUUCAAGGCCUAUAAUUAUUCAUAAAAAAUGUAAUUAAGUUAUUUAUUACUAGUGAUGUAUAAAAAUUAUAUUCAUACCUAGUUUAAUUCAUAGUUGUUUUAGUUCUUUUCUUUAUAGCAGCCCAAAUGUUUUUUUGUUCAGAGUUUUGAAAUUCGGCCUAUUUCAUUUAAAUAUGUUUGGCCAGUACAUAGUAAUUCGAGAUGCUCUAGUUUAGUAUAUGUCGUUUGUUCAUGAGAUGUGACUUAAGUAGCUGGUAUAAUGAUCUCGAAAACUAUAAUCGCUGAUGCCUUGAUUCAAUGUUGUCUGUUUCUAGAACCUCGUCAAUCAUGUGUUAAUAUCCAAAAAUAACUUGUAAUUACUUUCAUUAAUCUAUGUUGCAUUACAAAAGAGACUUAGUGUAUCAUUUCAAUUUACUUAACAAAUUUCAUAACAGAUUUAGAUUUCAUACAUUCUGGACAUCCCAUGCUUAUUAAAACUUUAGGAAAAUAAUCAUGAACAUCGUAGUUUGCUUUAGGCACGUUUAAUAAAUCAUUAUGGCCAUGGGUACGGUUCCCGUGGUAUGGUCACGAUACGUAAAUCUCAUUCGGGUGUGCAUUUCAUGUAACCUGACCAUAACUUCAAAUAAUAAUGAAAUACACAUGUUGUAGAUCAUAGGUACAGUUUUCGUGACACGAUUCACAACGUGUACAAAAAUAAACAAAUGUAUGACAAUCGUAACAUGUUCCAGAAAUAAUUCCAUAAAUAACUGAAAGCGGUAUAAAAUUAAAAAUGCACAAUAGGUUCUAAACAUGUGAUAAAUUAGAUAAUUAGGAUAAUUAUUAAUAGUUGAGCGAUCGUGAUAAAAUCACGGAACUCGGGAAUACCUAACACCUUCUCCCGGGUUAAUAGAAUUCGUUACCCGAUUUUCUGUGUUCGUGAACCAAAAAUAGAGUCAAUUUCCUUGAUUUGGGAUUUAAAAUAAACCGGUUACUUGGGACACUAAUAAUUAUUUCAAGUGGCGACUCUGAAAAUAAAAUAAGUAAUCCCAUUUCGAAUAAUGUCACUUUAAUUGAAAAAACUCUCUAUCCCCCUCAGGAAAAAUAGAGGUGUGACAGUAUCCACAAACCACCACCUACCACACUCCUCAAAAAGCACCACAACCUACCCCCGAUCCUCAAAACUCAACCAAUGACCACCACUACUCCCAAAUUCUUGAAGUCCAUCAAAGCAACCCAAUAUACGUGGAGACCAUACCCCACACUCCACAAUAAACCUUAUACAUAUACGAAUCCGCCGAGAAGGACCUUCUCAUCAAUAACAUGGCAGAGGAGCUCAAAACGCUUACUAGUCGAGUUGAAGGUGGUAAAGGCAUCGAGGGUUUGAAUUAUGAAGAUUUGUGUAUCCAGCCGGACGUAGAACUACCAGAGGGUUACAAACCUCCUAAAUUCGAAAUGUUCGAUGGAACAGGUGAUCCGAAGGUACAUUUGAGGACAUAUUGUGACAAGAUCAUGGGGAUUGGCAAAGAUGAAAGGAUCCGAAUUAGCUAUUCAUAAGGAGCCUCACUGGAGAUGCCCUGUCCUGGUACAUCAGUCAAAACCUGAAGAAAUGGGUUAAUUGGGUAAGCAUGGCGUCAAAUGUAAUGGAUCGAUUCAUGUUCAAUACAAAAAAUGUGCCAGAUGUAUUCUACAUUCAAAAUCUUAAGAAGAAACCCACAAAAACUUUCCGUGAGUAUGCUACUCAAUGGAGGUCAGAAGCUGCAAAAGUAAGGCCAGCACUAGAAGAAGAAUAAAUGAAAAAAUUCUUGGUUCGAGCUCAACAUCCACAGUACUAUGAGAGGUUGAUGGUCAUUGAAAAUCAUAAGUUCUCUUAUAUCAUCAAACUGGGAGAAAGAAUAGAGGAAUGAAUUAAAAGUGGAAUGGUGACGAAUUUUGAGGCACUGCAGGAUAUAAAUAAAGCUUGCAGUCAGGGAGUAUCUCUAAAAAGAAAGAAGUUGGUGUAGUAAUGGUAGCCCACAGUCCGAAGUCUCCCCUCACAUACCGAACACCACCACCCACAUAUUAGCCUUCACCUUCCAGAUACCAACAACCCGCCGUCACUUAUCAUACCUAUAACACCCAACCUGCAUAUUACCACUCAUCACCACUGGCUCGCUAACACUACCAAAAACCCAGACCAAAUUUCGACCAUAGAUCACCUAGACAAUACACUCCUAUUGUUGAACCCAUCGAUCAGUUGUAUGAGAGACUGAAGUUUGCCGGUUAUGUCACCCUCAUUCCCGCUAUUGCUAUGGAAAACUUGUCCCAGUGGGUUAAUCCGAACAAGACAUAUGCCUAUCACUCGGGCAUGAAUGGACAUAUUAUUGAUGAAUGUCGCACUUUGAAGGAUAAGAUCCAGACAUUGAUUGACACCAAGGUUAUACAAGCAAAAGAGGCUGCACCAAAUGUCCGCAACAACCCCCUCCCAGAUCACAGAGGUCAAGGGGUAAAUGUGAUAGAAACGGAUGGAGAAUAGGAUCCUAAAGGAUCGAUCGAGCUUAUUCGUGAAGGGGAUGAACCUAAAAUAUCUCCAGUCAUUCUCACACCUAUUGUGGUGCAGAUUCAGCCACCUAUUGAGAUCAAAGUAGCCGCACCAACUCCGUUUGAGGUUGAAGUAACAACUCCCUCAGUCACGCCAACUCCGUUUGAGGUGGAAGUGACCACACCCUUGGCCAUGGGACUAUACUGCAAAGGCGAAAAGGAAAGGAAAAGGGGAAAUGGAAGAAAUAGGAGUUGCACAAGGCAUGAACAGGACCGGUAGGGUUUACACACCCGAGCAUUUAAGAGGAACAAGUAAAGAAGCUGCUCCCAAAUAGCCUAUCAUUGAAACUGGUCUAGACGAUCUUUGGAGAAAGGUGCAAGCAAGAGAAUAUUCUGUGGUUGAUCAUCUGAACAAAACCCCAGCACAGAUAUCCAUUCUAUCACUACUAUAGAAUUCUGAGGCGCAUAGGAAUGCAUUGAUGAAAGUGUCUAACGAAGCUUAUGUACCCAACAACAUCACUAGCGGAGUAAUAGCCAACAUGGUGGAACAAGUGCUGGAAAGCCAUAAGAUCACUUUUCACGAAGACGGGUUGCCACCAGAAGGACAAAGUCACAACAAGGCACUGCAUAUCACUGUGACACCCCUUUUUUACACUUCACUAACCUUCUUAAAAUAAAAAGAUUUGUAAAGCUCGAAAGGGUUUUCAAUAGAAAGUGACAAAAAUUGGUGUUCAAAAGGAUUAACUCAGAGUCGUCACCUGAGAUUUGAUUUCGGUGUGUCAGGCAACUAUUUUUCUAAAAAUGAUUUUUCCUUUUAAAACACUUUGGACUCCAAAACUAAGUCUACACAAGAGAUUUGGGUAAGGGGCUCAUUUGACUCGGGUAGAAGGUGUUAGGCAUUCCCCGAGUCCCGUAACUAGUACGAUUGCAUACUCGAUCUAGGUGGCUUUUAAAAUAUUCAAAUUGAGGUAAAAAUAAACACAGAAAAAAAAAAUAAACAUAUAAGAGGCUCGAGGUCGUUCCCACCUAAUAAAAGAAAAUAAAAAUAAAUAUACUACGAGUUCUGCAUACCCCGUAUAAAAUAUAUACAAUGUCUACGGGGCAUUUCUCGGAUAAUAAAUUAAAGAAAACGACCUCUCGCCCCGAAUAAAAUAAAAGAAGCGACCUACGAUUUACCUACCCGAGUGUGAUCCGCCUAAAUUUGCUGCUAGCGGACCCCAAGUAAAUUAAAGGCAAAACAAUAAGAUUGCCUCAAGCCUAAACCCGCAUAUCCAAUGUUAAUUUAAUGUACUGACUCAAACACAUUUUGAUCAACCCCCACGAUUCAAAAUAAUUCACUGUUUGCCAUUUCCAUUCAAUUUGAUUCUUUCAUGUCUUCAUUUUUAUUGAACAUAUCUUAUAAAACAAAUUCAAAGAAAACAAAUUAAACAAAAUAACAAUGAAACUAAUCAAGGUUAAACAAAGCAUAAGCAAAUUCAAAUUUGUUGAAACAAAGAAGCAUAUCCAUUGAUUGAUAAGAGGGAUGAAAAGAGAUGGACCUGAAAAAUGAACUUGCAAUUAAUAUAGUUUUGGUGGUUCACGGACUGAAUACCUCAGCUACGAAUGGAGUUCAAAACAACAAAUCCAACUCGAACCAAACCAAUGGACUGUACCUCGGACGACAACUCCAACAAUCGAUCACCCAUUUAAACUCAACUCCAUUUCGGAAACCAACACUAAAAGAACAACCUAAAUUUUCAUUAUGUGUUUCGCAUUUGAAAUAAAAAAUGAAGCUAGACUCAACUGAAAAUCAAAAAUUGAAAAGUCAGAAUCUUAAAACCAAAACCUUGUUUUUCUUUGAUUUUUUUUAUGUCUAUCCAUUCCCUGCCUCUGUUUUUAGCUGUUGUACGUGUGUGUGUGGUUGCUGGAUUCCGGCCAGUUAUGGUGAUAAGGGAGCAACGACGACUGGAUGGUCGGCGGCAGUGAGAGGGGGCUGCUGGAGGCGAGUUCUGGCGAGUGAAGGGGAUGAUAGAGGUGACCAACUUUUGGUAUUUUUUGAGAAGGGGUGACAUCUGGUGGUUGAAGAUUAUUUCCGGAUGUCCGACGAGCUUGGUGGCGCAACGGCUUGGUUGGUGAGGAGAUGGCGGUGGAGUAGGUCUUAUGGUUCCUCUCCCUUGGUUGAAGAAUAAGAGGGGACGACUGGGGUGUGGUCUUAGGGUGUUGAAGAUGGAGAUGAGGGGAGGGAGCGACGACUCCAAAUCUCUAGGGUUUAGGGGUUCUAGGGUUAGGUUAGGUGCUAGGGUUUUGGUGUGAAGAAGAUGAUAUGAGGGGUGUGUCGUUCAGAUUUGAAGAAGAGAAGAAAGGUUUAGUUUUUUUUUUAAUUCUUUAAGGGAAAUGGGGUAUGAGCUAACAAGAUUUGGGCUUAGAAGGCUUUUGGGUUUUGGGGUUGGGUCUAUGUAUUAUUGGAUUAACAUUGAGCUAAAAAUUAAAAUUCAUAAGAUAUAGACCCAAAUACAAUUCUUCUUGUACAAUAGUAUAAAGCACCUAUAAAAAUGUAAAAUCACUCCUAAUUAAUUAAAAUAAACUAUUAAAGAUAAACCUAAAAUGAAAAUAUUUUUGGUAUUUUUUCAAGAUUAUAUAAAAAUAAAAAUUCUAGUAAAAUAGUAUGACUACAAAACAUUAAUGAAACUAUUUUUUGUGAUUUUUAUUUUUUGUGAUAAAAUAAAGUAAAAGAGUCAAAACUAGUUAAAAUAGCGAUAUUAGACCUAAAUUAACUAUUUAAACGCUAAAAAUGUGUAAAAUCUUGAGGAGGGUCAAAAAUUACCUGUCUACAGUUGCCUCUCUUUGACUGGAAACACGAAGAGUUUUCAGACAAAGAACGACGAGACAGGUUUUUUGACCCGACCCUUAUUUAGAGAGACCAAAAACUGAAAGAAAGGAGAAUGUGACCGAGCCCUGGCAUCUGAGCUACCUAUAUAUCCUUGGCUAUAAAGGAAUCAGGCCACGCGUAGUUUAGAAAUAGGAACAGUGAUAGAGUAUACCGAGGUGGAGAGCCGAUUGAGGUGCCGUUCCGUCGAGGUUCCGGUCCGCGGUCCUGUUAUUACAUCAAAAUCAAAAAAAUGAAAAAGACUAACUAAGCAUGUCGGGUAUGAGUUACAAGAUUCCUAUCUAUAAGUUUUCUGAAGUAUGAUCUUGAGUCUUGAAUGGUUCUUCAUGCAGACUUUAGAUUUGAACCUUAACGCUUGCUAGCUGCAGGUGCUAGUUCAUUCUUUUUCAGCUUUUCGGAUCAUGACAGGAACAUGCAAAGCUCGUGACUCAGUCAUGUCUUGAGCAAUCCAUAUCUUGUCUCUGCUUCUGCAUUUCGGAUACUUCUUUUUUUUCUUUUAUUCUAGAUUGAGACUACUUCUGUUGGUCAUCUCGGAUUGCCGACUCGCAUUCUUGAGGCGAAUUUUUGUUACUUCUAAAUUGAAUUGAAUUUUGGAAAGAUUUCUUUCGUUCUCCAGGUGGGUGCCUGCAAUCAAAAUAAGAAAACAAACAAAAUUUUCUGCCCCAAUUUGCACUCGGGAGAUUUGUGAGUUGUUAGCAAAACUGUAAACCACUUAUGCUACUGAUGCAAUAAUGAGAAUAAACUAAAGACUCGACUAACAUGUGCGUAUCCUGUGAGUAAACCAAGAAUAUUUGACAAGAAAAUGUGUCUGCGAAGAAUAAAACUUGAAUGACACAGACUAGGAGGUGCGUCUCCUAGGGGUAAAACUUCAAUGACUUAAACUAGGAAGUGCGUCUCCUAGAGAUGAACUUAAAUGACCCAAACUAGGAAGUGCGUCUCCUAGGGGUAAAAUCUCAAUUUAGGAAGUGCGUCUCCUAAAAAAUAANNNNNNNNNNNNNNNNNNNNNNNNNNNNNNNNNNNNNNNNNNNNNNNNNNNNNNNNNNNNNNNNNNNNNNNNNNNNNNNNNNNNNNNNNNNNNNNNNNNNNNNNNNNNNNNNNNNNNNNNNNNNNNNNNNNNNNNNNNNNNNNNNNNNNNNNNNNNNNNNNNNNNNNNNNNNNNNNNNNNNNNNNNNNNNNNNNNNNNNNNNNNNNNNNNNNNNNNNNNNNNNNNNNNNNNNNNNNNNNNNNNNNNNNNNNNNNNNNNNNNNNNNNNNNNNNNNNNNNNNNNNNNNNNNNNNNNNNNNNNNNNNNNNNNNNNNNNNNNNNNNNNNNNNNNNNNNNNNNNNNNNNNNNNNNNNNNNNNNNNNNNNNNNNNNNNNNNNNNNNNNNNNNNNNNNNNNNNNNNNNNNNNNNNNNNNNNNNNNNNNNNNNNNNNNNNNNNNNNNNNNNNNNNNNNNNNNNNNNNNNNNNNNNNNNNNNNNNNNNNNNNNNNNNNNNNNNNNNNNNNNNNNNNNNNNNNNNNNNNNNNNNNNNNNNNNNNNNNNNNNNNNNNNNNNNNNNNNNNNNNNNNNNNNNNNNNNNNNNNNNNNNNNNNNNNNNNNNNNNNNNNNNNNNNNNNNNNNNNNNNNNNNNNNNNNNNNNNNNNNNNNNNNNNNAGUGCGUCUCCUAAAACAAAAUAUAACCUAAAAUACCCAAACUAGGAAGUGCGUCUCCUAGGGGUGAAACUUCAAUGACUAGAACUAGGAAGUGUGUCUCCUAGGAAUGAACUUAAAUGACCCAAAACUAGGAAGUGCAUCUCAUAGGGGUAAAAUCUCAAUUUAGGAAGUGCGUCUCCUAAAAUAAAAUAUAACUUGAAAGACCCAGACUAGGAAGUGCGUCUCCUAGAAGUGGAACUUUAAUGACUCCAACUAGGACGUGCAUCUCCUAGGGAUGAAUUUAAAUGACCAAAACUAGGAAGUGUGUCUCCUAGGGGUGGAAUCUCAAUUUAGGAAGUGUGUCUUCUAAAAUAAAAUAUAACUUAAAGGACCCAGACUAGGAAGUGUGUCUCCUAGGGGUGAUAUGUGAUUUUCUUAAUAGCCUUUGCGCAAGCAAAAUUGGGGAAUUACACCUGAAAAAUUCUAGCUUUGAUAUGAACAUAACCUUCAUCUCUGUUUCACACAAAGAAAACUUGUGAGUUUAAAACAUGGUGGUUAGUUUGUGGCCUUGAUUACGAGGGCGAUUUCUCUUGCAAUUGUCACGACCAACUUGGACUUCAACUUGGAAGACAGUGCAUAUUAUCGACCGAUCGCUUUUCUGGAUAACCCUUAUCACAAGAAAUAUUCCUGAUUCAUUCAAGUCCAAUACCUUAUGCCCGAUGCAUUGCACUUGUGUUCUAACAUUCACCAAAUCUUUGUAUUUUACAUCAAUCCCAAAGAAUAUCUAUUAUCACCAACUCAGUGCACACACUAUUCUCCUGUGUCUUAUGCGAUUUUGAUGUGCUUACCAGACUCGGCUUUGUGUGAUUAAAAAGCUGGUAGCAGAUUUUGAAGUCAUUUCUCACUUGUUUUGAGAAAAACAUAUCAAAAGGGACACAAACAAAACAAAAGGAACAAAAUAAGGUAAAAAACGAGAAGAGAUGGUAUCUAACACGAAAAUAUUUUUACCCAAGAAAAAGAAAAAAGUAGAAACUAAUCUGAUUUGAAGGUCAUCUCCACUGACCAUGACAUGCAUUUUGGAUUAAGCGGCCCGAUUUGUCAAUUGAUUCUAAUCUUCAACUCUUGUUAUGCCUCUAAGUUGUGAAACUGGGAUUCCAAGCUCCAAUUAUCAUAUUUAAUCCACGAUCCUCAGUCGACUUGUAGUGCCCUGAAGGGUUUUCACCAUCAAGCCUCUCUCAUUUUGCUCCUUUUCUCAACUCACUAUCGCCUUACGAUGCCCAUGAGGGUUUUUAUCGAUAAGACUCUCUUAUUUUAUCAUUUUCUCUCUUUGUGCUUAGAACAAGGUAUUACCCAUGAUACAAGAAGAUCAUACUUUCACUACACACUUGAUUUGACAUCCUCAAAGAUUGGUCGAAAGGUCUUUCUUUGGACUGUAAUGUAGGCUUUUGGACAAGGUUGGAAAGAAAGGGUGGCAUGAAGGCUCAAAAUAAUUUAAGAUGAAAGGGUUCAAAAUUACAACUUUUGGAAUAAAAUUUUUGGCAAAAUUCAAACUUCUGCCCCGGUUUCUUGGAGUCUAGGGAUUUUUUUUUUUGGAUUUUUACUUUGAUGGGACCAAACCUCAGAGUAAGGCUGCCUACGUAUUCUUAAAAGGAAUCAGGCCGAACGUAGUUCCAACACAAAAUUGGUUUUUUGUUGUUUUUCUUUUUCUUUUCCUUCUCUUUUUUUCCUUUUUUUCUUUUCUUUUCUUUUCUUCUUGUUCUCUUUUCUUUUUCUUUUUUUUCUCUUUUUUUCUUUUUCUUUUCUAGUUCAUAACUCUAUUUCUGAUUACAAAAGAGGGGUAUGAAACAAAACAAAUUAGGCUCAAAAGGGGUAGCAAAAGAUAGAAGUAUUUGGGUAGCAGAAUAAAAUGCCUUCGUCAUACCAAACUUUAAAAAUGUUAGGUACAAGCAUGCAAUUGAAGAUAAGCAGAGAAAUCAUACAUAGUAUCUACUGAUGGCAUCAAAAUAAACAAAAAGUGCCGACGGGCAAUACCUUUGUCCCAAUGAAUGAUCCUUGCCAAUUAGAAGCAAACUUGACUCAACCUUAUCUUGAUGUGGAAGAAUGUAUUUCAACACUGACUGAUCUACCUCAAACUGCUUGACAAAUAUUUCCUUGUUGUAUGCUCUUAUCAACCUCUUGAUUUCCCAAACUAACUGCCUUAGUUUCACUCAAUUCAAGCUUCAAGUUAUCUUAGAUGCGUGAAUCUUUGCUUGUUCCAUCAAAUGCUUCCUUUUAUCAUAUUCAAAAUUGUGCCAUUGCUUCAUAAUUAAACUAAAUAUCAAGACCAGGCCGAGAAUUAUGGGUGCAUGUCAUGUUACUAGAGUUAGCAUAAAAAGAACUAUAAAGGAAAAGUGACCUAAACAAAAACUGAAUAGAACUAAUAGAAAACAAGAGAUUGCAUUAGACAGAUGGUGAAAAGGGUUUGAAUAAAACCCUGGAACAAUCCUAGAUAACACUAGACGAGUUACUACCACUAAACGAACUAGGAAAAAUAAGAAAAAGAAGGGUUUGAGACACAAGACAAUAUUCGGAUUAUAACCCUAAAAUAACCCGGACAAAAGAAAUGAGAACAAAAUAAACCACCAAAACUCCUCCAUGGCUAGCCAAGAAAGGAGUGUCUUUCCAAUUACCAAGCUCGACAUCUUAGCCACUGGGUUGCACAUCAAAAUUACUAGGACCUUCACCAAUUUCAAUAUCAUUAACUUCAGUCAGCAAGUUCCCAAGAGGAUUCUCAUACUCCCUGUCACCACACAUCCUCCCCACAAAGUGUGCAUCAUCAUGUGUAGGUAAAGGAUUAUGCGCUAUGUUCUGGGUGUCAAUAUCCUGGACCAUAAUUUUCCCUUCUUGAAUUAUUCUUUCUAUCUCCCUUUUCAAAGCACGACAAUCUUCAAUGCUAUACCCUUGGACAUUAGAGUGGUACAUGCAUCGUACAGUAGGAUAAAAAACUUUUGCAUAUGGGUUCGGAGUAUAGCCGAGGAGCGACUCAAUCAGGCUAGACUAUUUUAACUUUUCAAACAAGCUUGUAUAGGAUUCUCCGAUUAGCGUGAAACUAUUUCUUUGCAUUUGUUCCCCUCUAUGACCCUGUUUUAUAGGGUUGUUGGGUGCUCGAAAAUGUUGUGAAGGCGAAAGAGUAUUAUGUGGUUCUGGUGCUCGCCAUAAGGAGUGACCCAAUGGUUGAACAAAUGAUUAGACGUUGUUCGGAGGAUAAUACUGAGGUGGAUUAUGUGGAUCUCGGGGAUAGGUUUGGAGUUGGGGUCAGGGUCGAGGCUGAGUAUAUUGGUAAGGCAGACUUAUUGGUCCAUGUCGUGAUCCUGAGACAACCAUGGCAACAUCAUCAUUUUUCUUCUGACCCGGCAAGCUUCCUAUGUCGUUCUGAAUUACUUGUGUUGUGGAUUUUAAGGCAGAAUAACUCAUGAUCUUACUUGACUUCAACCCAUCUCCUCCCAUUUCUUCCAUUUUUACCACAUCAAUAAAAGGCUUACCCAAAGCCGAGAUCAAAUGCCUAAAGAAAGUAGGCUCUUGAGCUUGAAGAAAGUACUCGACCAUUUCAUCUUCUCCUAUCGAAGGAUUGACUCAUGCAGCACGCUAUCUCCAUCUGAAAUCAUAUUUCGUGAAACUUUCACUGGGUUUCUUCUCUAUCUUGGUCAAGGAUAGGCGAUCUGGGACAAUAUCUAUAUUGUACUGAAAAUGCCGAGCAAAGGCCUGAGCCAAAUCGUCCCAAGUGUACCACCUGCGGGCGUCCUGGCGGGUGUACCAUUCUAAAGCAUCCCACUCAGACUCUGGCUGAAGUAAGCCAUCAACAAUUUAUCUUUUCCCCCAAUGCCUCUUAUUUUACUGCAAUAACCUCUCAGAUGAGCUACAUGAUCCCCAUGUCCAUCAUACAAGUCAAACUUGGGCAUGUUGAACCCAACAAGUAGUUGGACAUCAGGGAACAAACACAAAUCCUUAUAAGCCACACUUACCUGGCUUCCUAACCCUUGCAUAUUUCUCAAUGAUUGCUCCAGACUCUUUACUUUCCUAAACAUCUCCUCUUGCUCCGCGUUCUUGGGUGGUAUCUCAGUUUCAACAUGAGGCUCAAAGUAAGGAGUGUAGGAGUAAGGAUCUGGGACAUUGAAGGUAGGUUCCGGGGCAUAAUAUUAGGUAUUUAGAGCUUGAAAUGCAGGCUCACUAGAGGAUUGGUGGAGGGUAACUUGUGAAGAGGGUACAAAAAUAGGAGCAGAUGUCAGAUCAGGGUAUGAGGUUGUUUUGGCGGGUAGAGCAUGAAAAAUUUGGGCUGAAGUGUCGGGGUAGGAGUGGUAAGGGGUGAAACCUUGUGCGUGUUGUGGGGAAAAGUUACUUGGCAUCUGGGCUUGGGAGAGUGGUGGAAUGGAAGCAGGGUUUUCAGAAUAGUUGGUAAGGAAUGAAGGUGGAGGGUGUCCCUUAUUCCAGGCCCAAUACAUUUCCACCAUCUGAUAUUUCAACCUCCGGACCUCCUCUUUCAGUUACGAUUCUAAUUCUACAAUCUCCCUUGGUGGGUUUACAACCCCAGUGUCUGUUUCUUUGCUAGCCACGGCUACCGUGCUCUUUGACCUUGUGUUGUAUGGACGAAUCGCCAAAGUGCCACAAACUAACCACCCUCUGUUAUGAUAACAAUGAAAGUAACAAAGAAGAGCAAAACAAAUCCAACAUGUUAGCGUUAGGGCAUUUAUCAGACAGAAAUAUCACAUUACGUGCAAUGCCCCUCGCAACAAUUAACGGUUCUAGAAUGACUUCGAGGGUACGAAGGUCAUAUGGCAUCAUCCCAAUUUCACUCUUCUUGCCUCGUUUACUCUUCAUUUUUAUCUUUAGCACUCCUUGGCUUGCUCAUUUUCUUUCCUCUCUUUUCUUUCUGAUUAUUGCUCUUUACUUACAUCACACAGUUUCCUCUCAUUUUUCACGACCUGUAACUUCAUUCAUUUUUUUAAUUAAUGAUUCGAUCGAACUCUAUGUAGGUUUCCUACGUAUCAUGUCCCUUUUGAAUUAGACCAAGCGUAGUUCUGGAAAAGUAAUGAAAAAAAAACUAAAAACAAAAAUCUUUUUGAAUUUUUCAUUUAUAAUUUUUUUUCUUUUCAAGUACAUCAUAGGAAGUACGAUAACAAAAGACUCAACAAACUUAACUAGAUUACGAUAAACUGUGACACCACCUAAAAUAAUCAAUACAACUAGACAAGACAUGUAAAAUAAAAGACAAAACAUACUCAAAAAUAUAAAAAAAUCUCCUCAAAUAGCUCUUAAAUACGAUGGUCAUGAGGUAUCUGUCAUGCUCAAGCUCUGAUAAAUGGAUUCAUACCUGAAUGAGAAAAAUGAGACCAAACAGAGUUAAUGACUCGAGACACUAUCUAUUGGACACGUACAAGUCACAAAUGAGAUAGUUUUUGCGAAAAGGCUUAAGUAGCCAAAAGUGACUGAAAGUGCAAAACUCAAUAAGGAAAAAUCUCAUAAAGGCCUAUAUGGCCUUAAACUUCAAGGAAUCAUAACCUCUAAAGUUACUUUGCAAAAAUGACCCCACUUUGCAGAAAUGGCCUAUGUGGCCAAAAAUGGCUAAGCAUGCAAAUUUGACAGGAAUGGACCUUAAACAAAGAUGACACUUUGUUGUGGACUUAGGACCUAAGACAUGGGUCACUGAACCACUUUUACGAAAAUAACCCUAUUUUGCAAGAACAGCCGAUGUGGCCAGAAUUGGCUAGACAAUGCAAGAUUUGGCUAUGACCCCCGAAGCCAAGAACCUAAGACUCACUAGGAAGACCGGACCCUAUGUGGCUGCUUACGUAUCCCGCCCCAAAAGACGAAAAUCAUGUAUGCAUAGUUCGGGAAGAUUAAAUACGGGAGAGAAUUAAAAAAAAUACUGAUUUGGAGAAAACAUAUUUUUGUCUUUUUUUUUUGAAAAAUGAUGAAACAUGUAAAAUCUUUUGGAUUUUUUUUUCACUUUUUUGAUUCAUUUUUUUUUUGAAAAAAAGAUGGGAAAGUGCAAAAUCUUUUUUGGAUUUUCAUUUUCAAUUCUUUUGGUCUUUUCUUGAAAAAGUUAUGAAAGAAAAAUAUAAUUGGGCCCUACUUGAUUCAUUUUUCACUCUUCUUUUCAAAACAUCGGUCUGCCAAACGACCUUUCUACCUUCGUAGAUGCAACAUUUAGCACAUAGGAUGAUUGAAUGUCAUUUUGGGCUAGCGAGCCCAUUUGACACAAUUUGUACAGGUUUUCUACAAAGGACAAGGCACCUAGUACCGGGCCCUGCUAGGUCAUAAUGAUAUGAUGCAAAUAAAAAUGACCUAAAGGCUGACCUAUGUUUGGGGUUCACUAAUAAGGCAAUUCGGGGGAGCGUAUGGUCGAUAGUGGCUGCUCAAGCUUUCCACCCACUCCAUACGUCCGACCCCCCUCCUAAAAUAAGGGUGACUCAACAAAGAGUUCAUGUACGCGAGGCGUACUCCGAGACUUAUUGCAGAAAGAAUUGACUCAGGAUAAUGCAUAUGAUGACAGUUAUAAAGAAGUACCACAUAAAGGAAAAUAUGUAAACACAUAAAACAACUAGAAAAUAAAGCAACAUAAAAAAAAUAAAAAUCAAAUAAAGCAAAUAAAGAAAACAUAAAAACCUCAACCGUAUAUUCUAAAAAGCCAACAAAAUCAAGUACCAGCUCGAACCUGCAACUCCCCAGCAGAGUCGCCAGAGCUGUCACACCCCUUUUUUACACUCCACUAACCCUCAUAAAAUAAAAAGAUUUGUAAAGAUCAAAAGGGUUUUCAAUUAGAAAGUGACAAAAAUUUAUGUUCAAAAGGAUUAACUCAGAGUUGCCACCUAACAUUUGAUUUCGGUUGGUCAAGUAACCGUUUUUCUAAAAAUGAUUUUUCCUUUUAAAAUACUUUGGACUCCAAAACUAAGUCUACACCAGAGAUUUGGGUAAGGGGGCUCAUUUGACUCCGGGAGAAGGUGUUAGGCAUUCCCGAGUCUCGUAACUAGUACAGUUGCGUAUUCGAUCUAGUUGACUUUUAAAAUAUUCAAAUUGAGGUAAAAAUAAACACAUAAAAGAGAAAUAAAAACACAAGAGGCUCGAGGUCGUCCCCACCUAAUAAAAAAAAUGAAAAUAAAAAUACUACGAGUUCUACUUUCGACCUCCAAAUACAAAUACUUUGGGGUAUACCCCGAUAAAAUAUAUACAUUGCCUAUGGGGUAUUCCCCAGAUAAUAAACUAAAGGAAACGACCUCUCGCCUCGAAUAAAAUAAAAGAAGCGACCUACGAUUUGCCUACCCAAGUGUGAUCGGCCUAAAUAUGCUGCUAGCGGACCCCAAGCAAAUUAAAGAUAAAACAAUAAGAUUGCCUCAAGCCUAAACCCACAUAUCCAAUGUUAAUUUAAUGUACUGACUCAACACAUUUUGAUCAACCCCUACGAUUCCAAAUAAUUCAAUGUUUUCCAUUUCCAUUCAACUUGAUUCUUUCAUGUCUUCAUUUUUAUUGAACAUAUCUUAUAAGACAAAUUCAAAGAAAACAAAUUAAACAAAAUAACAAUGAAACUAACCAAGGUUAAACAAAGCAUAAGCAGAUUCAAAUUUGUUGAAACAAAGAAGCAUAUCCAUUGAUUAAUAAGAGGGAUGAAAAGAGAUGUACCUGAAAAAUGAUCUUGAAAUUAAUAUAGUUUUGGCGGUUCAUGGACAGAAUACCGCAACUACGAAUGGAGUCCAAAAUAGCAAAUCCAACUUGAACCAAACCAACAGACCAUACCUCGGAUGGCAACUCCAACAAUCGAACACCUGUUUUAACUCAACUCCAUUUCGGAAACCAAUACUAAAAGAACAACCUAAGUUUUCAUUAUGUAUUUCGCAUUUGACAUAAAAAAUGAAGCUAGACUCAACUGAAAAUCAGAAAUUGAAAAGUGAGAAUCUUAAAACCAAAACCCUAUUUUUCUUUGAUUUUUUUUAUGUUUGCUCGUUCCCUGCAUCUAUUUUUAACUGAUGUAUGCGUGUGUGUGGUCGCCGAAUUCCGGUCAAUUAAGGUGAUGAGGGAGUAGCGACGACUGGUUGGUCGGCAGCAGUAAGAGGGGGCUACUGGUGGCUAGUUCUGGCAAGUGAAGGGGAUGAUAUAGGCGGCCGAUUUUUGGUAUUUUUUGAGAAGGGGUGACGGCGGGUUGUUGAAGAUUGUUGCUGGACAUUCGGCGAGCUUGGUGGCGCGGUGCCGUGGCUGGUGAGGAGUGGCAGUGGAGUAUGUCUUAGGGUUCUAGGGUUCCUCUCCCUUGGUUGAAGAAGAAGAUGGGAUGACUGGGUGUGGUCUUAGGCUGUUGAAGAUUGAGAUGAGGGGAGGGAGCGGCGGCGGCG
rnacentral:lncRNA from 1 species